UUUUUUUUUUUUGUUGGGGUGUGGAGAGUUGUAAAACUUAAAAAGUCAAAAAAGAAAAAAAUAAUGAAAGGAUGAAAAAGAAUUAAGGGUGCAUUAUCAUAAUAUGCAGACAAAAAGGGAAAAAGACUUAGCAUUUGAUCUAUUUUUGUGAGAACAAUAUGCAAAGUAUAUGAAGUAAUAUAUUACUCUACUACCAUAUACAGCAAAUGCUUGGGCAAAGAUGAAAACUUUUUCCCAAAAAACAAAUAUCCCAAUUGUAAAGAUCCAAUCUUUAUCUUCUUACCUUAUUUAAUAAGCAACAAAAAAACAAUUAAACAAUUGCAACUCAAUUACAAACUUUCCCAACAUUGUAUUUCACCAUAACAGUUACAGUAAUGAUCCUUCAUAUAAAACAAAAUAAAAUAAAGAAAAAAAAGGAAAAGAAAACCUUGCCAUUAAAGGGUGAAAUAUGAAGUUUAUGUUAAAUUGUUUCCAAAUUUAUAUAGGAUCUUUUUUUUCUUUUGGAACUGACACCAUAAUAUCGUAUCUGCACUUUGGCAUGCUCAGAAUAACAUAUGUAUUACUACCAUAUACAGCAAAGUUUUGGCAAAGAUGAAUACUUUUGCCACAAAAAAGAAUAUCCCAUGUAUAAAAAUCCAAUCUUUGUCGUCCAACCUUAUUUAAGAAUCAACAAAAAUAUAAAAAAUUACAAGUCAAGAUUACAAACAUUAGCAGCAUUAUAUUUCAAGCACAACAAUUACAUUAAUGAUACUCAAUUAAAAAAAAAUAAAGAAAAAAACUUGUUACUUAAAAAGUUUAAGCUAAAUUUUUUCAAAUUUAUAUUAGGGUAUAUUUUUUUAAUAGACUAAACAAGUAAACAGGGUCACAUAAAGUUGAGACGGGCUAAAUGGGCUGAGUACCUUAUUAGUCAAGAGGCAGUGUUACUAAGGGUAAAAUGGGCAAUUUAUGUUAGAUUAUUUCCAAAUUUAUAAAGAGUCAUUAUAUUUUUUUUAACGAUUAAAAACGAAAUAGGGUAACAUGAACUGAAAAAAAAAAAAAAACUACGAAGUUUAUGUUAAAUUAUUGACUACUUUUCUUAUUGAAAUGGACUAAAAAAUAAAAAGCGAGUACCUUGAUCGAGAGACGGUGACAAAGAGGAAGGACCUUCAGUCACAGACAAGGAAAUUCCGGCAUCAAAAUCCAUUAUGAUGAUGAUCAGAAGCAGCCCAUCACCGGAAUUUCCAUUAAUUCUGAGCACACAAAACACAAAAAACACACCCUCUCUUCUGUUUGAUGAAAUGCACAAAAGAAACAAACUUCAAACAGAGAGAGAGGAAAAAAGGGGGAAUUCAGACAAAAGUAAAAGAGGGAACAGAGAGAAAGAGAAGGAACGUUUUUUCCUCUCCACACAAAAACAGAAGAGAGAAAAAGAAAGAACAAAUAUGAACCAAUCAACCAUUUGGGGGAAAAAAUAUAGAAUCGACCAACCAAAUAUUUACACGCAAAAUUUGCUUUUGACAAAGUACCUCUCUUUAGUACCUUAGUACUAUUAGCAUUAUUAUUAUUUUUUAAUUAUUUGUUUUAAUAUUCCUAAGUUUUUAAGUUGACUUAACACAUGUGUUCUUCUCUUUGUUUUCUUAAUAUUUCCUCAAUUCUUUAUGUGCUAAAUGCUAAUUCUAUUGUUAGUAUAUUUAUUUGGAUUUCUUCCCUUGAGACCUAAUUACUCUUUUAACCUCGUAUUAGAUUUUAAAAAAAAUAAUUUCGUUCAGAAUUACUUUGUAAGAUCUUUUAUGUUUUAUUUGGUGUUCUUCAGUAUUAUAUUUUAUUAAUAUCCCGUAAAAAUAAUUAUAUAAUAACAAAAAUAAUAUCUAUAAUUGACCAUAAAGCUGAUCUUCAUUUUUUCUAUCAGUUAGUUUAAUACUUUAAAUACUUUAAUUUACCCGAUUAAAACAAAUAAUGCUAAGCUAAUAUAAAAAAGAAAGAGAAACAGAGAGAAAAUCUAUUUUUAUUCCUUAAUUUUGACAAAAGAUAUAAACGUAAAGUGAUGUUUCUUUUCUGUUCAUAUUUGUUUGUUUCACUUGUUGCAAUCAAAAAGAGAAUGAACGAUAAUCUCUCUCCCUUUUCCAAUUUUUUUUCUUACGAUAUUUACAAGAGACAUUCUCCUUGGCAUUAACGUGUAAAAAAAUGUUUAGUAAAGCCUUGGUUAUUUCCUGACAUUAAAAUGUUUGAUCUGAAUACUACGAAAUAUUUAAUUACUACAAAAUAUUGUUCUAAAUUUAAAGAUUUGAUAAUUAAAAACAUUUAUAUUCUUAAAAGUGUAUAAUUUAUUUAUUAAAACCUAAUAGAUAUAAAUUUUAAAUAAAAUUAUAAUCAAUUCUUAUAUCCAGAAAAAAAAAACUUGAGAAAAAUACUACAUAUUUUUUCAUGUGAAUGUAGAAUGCCUUUGUGUGAUAAAAUACUCCAAAAGUUAUCGACGGUGACAACGGAUAGUCAUGGUAGUCAGGGGCGGAUAAAGUCUAUACUCGACGGGUUCAAUUGAAUCCAUAACUUUAAAAACAUAAUGAGUUCAAUGCUAAAAAUUUUAAAAAUUGAACUCAUACAGUUUAAAAUCCCAAAUCCGCCUAUGGUGAUAAUAGUAGGUGGUGAUGGUCUGCGAAGUGGUAAAUGGUGGGGGUUGAUUGUUUGUUAAUUGUUGGAGGGAGACAACCAUAGUAGUUGUACAAUAACAGCCAGAUAUAAUAUAUGUGUGGUGGUGAAUGGUAGUAGAUGUAAUUGUGAAUGAUGGUUUUGUACGAUGAACGACGUAUGGCGCGCGGUGGAAGGUGGCAACUGGUGAUGAAGGUGGCUAGUGAUGGUGGGGUUGUCUGUAGAGCUGAUUGAUGGUGGUCGCUGGUGAUGAAUGUGAUUACAAAUGGUGGCUGCACAACAAUAACUAGCAGUGAAAGUACUUGGUACAGAAGAUUAGUGAUCGCCGAGUGCUAUGCCGUUGAGGCUAGAAAUAAUUGCAAUAGAUAAAGUAUUGAUAAAAUGUCACAUUCACAUAAAUCUUUAAGUCAAUGACAUUUUAAUCUAUUUAAAACUUUGUAGAAACUCAAAAUAAUCAAAGUUAUUCAUAGCAAAUACAUGAUUGUAAAAGAAAAAAUUUACAUAAUAACAAACUUAAUAAUCUUAAAUUAGAGAGAUUCAAAUUCAAACCUCAACCAAGCAAAACAACCGUAGCUAACCGUUGUUUAUGGUUGUAUACAGGGACUUAUUCAAGUUAUACUAUAUUUAUGGCCCCAUUAUCCCAUAUUUUUUGCCAUAGACUUUGAUUGUUAUAAUGGGAUAUAUGACCUACAAUAUUGUUCUUUAUUUUAUUUAGAAAACUAUUUGACAAUGACAUAUUAUAUUAUGAAAUUAUUCCCUGUUGCUGGGUAUAUUAGUUUGGGAAUCAAUUUCAUCAAGUAACGGUAGAUAGUAGCUGAUAUAUUAAAAAAUGAUAAAAGUUAAUAAUUUAGCAACUAAAAUAGGUGUUUGAUCACCGAAAAUUUAAAAAAAUUUAGCGACCUUUUCAAUGCUGCAUAAAUAGUUGAGAAUUGUGAAAAUAAACUCUCAGAAGUGAUUUGCAAUUAAUACAUGGGACAAAGGCCUCUUCGUAACGGUUGACUUUUGAGACAUCAGCCAACUACAGAUUGAAUUUGGACUUUGGACAAAAAAGGUCAUUUUUAAAGACUGAAAUGAAUGUGACCAAAUUCAUUGUUUCAAACUAUUACUAAAGCAUUAUGAGUGUGUUAAGUAUGACAGAAAGUCAUAAAAAAUAUUGUACAAAAAAAAAUAUGCUCAUACAUUAAAGACUAAUAAUAAUAAUAAUAAUAAUAAUAAUAAUAAUAAUAAAGGAAUAUAAAAAAUGAUGGAUUUUAUUGAUUAGACUCAUUCCGCAACUUCGGGAGAAAGUUCUAUAAUUCCACUAAAAAUAGAUAGCACGGAAUUUUUUUUUUCUUUUGAUUCCCCUUUGUUGGAGUUAUUGCUCCUUUGGUGACUCGAACCCACGAGGCCCUGAGGUUAUAUGAGGGGGGUGCUGACCAUCUGAACAAACUCCUCUUGUCGAUAGAAGGGAGAAUGUUGCUUUAGAAAAGAUACAAUAGUUUUCGACUUUCCCAUAAUUGACUUCUAAGCUCGGUGGAGCAUGUGAUUUAAUUUGAUGCAAAGCGAAGAACCUUACUUGGACUUGACAUGUCGUGAAUCCUCUUGAAAGAGAGGGGUGCCUUCGGGAACACAGACACAGGUGGUGCAUGGCCAUAGGCAGAUAUAAUGUAUCAGCACUGGAUUUAACUAAAUCCGAUACUUUUGGUGCGGAGUACAAAUUCAUGUACAAAAAUUCAUUAAUAUUACAAUAUAUAACAAUAUGAACCCAUAACUUUAAAAUACAAUGGAUUCAAUGCUAAAAACCUUAAACAUUGAACCUAUCAAACUUAAAUUCUAGAUCCGCCUCUGUGUAUGGCUGUCGUCAGCUCAAAGGUGUUCGGUGAAGUCUCUCAACGAGCGCACUCGUGUUAGUUACCAUCGUUUAGUUUGAAACCCUGAAUAAACUGUCCAUGAUAAACCGUAGGAAAGUGAGGAUGACGAAAAGUUAUCAUGCCCUUUAUACCCUAAGCGACACAUGUGUUGUUAGUAAUCUAUGAUCAAAAUCAGAAAAUCAGAGAAGUAAAGAAAUGUCAGUUCAAUAAAACAAAAUAUAAAAUAAUUUUCGAGCCCACAAGUUGUUUGUGUGUCCUUCAGAAAUUUAAUCUCCUCACUAUUGCCCAAGGUUAUGGAUUACUUCCUCCUAGGAUAGAACGAAAAAACUAUUCUGUAAUAUUGGUAGUCAAAAUUACAGAAUUUCAGUAAACUCAACAAACGGAGCAAAUUACACUUGACACUUUAUUUAUUUGGAAAAACAAUGCAAUAAUGUAGAAAAGAUGGGAGAAGUUUUCAGAUUUUUUAUUUUCUGAAAAAUGAGGCUAAGCCUCUAAACUUAUAGACAAUGAAAGAGUGAGAUGAAGACGUUCAAUUUAAAAGGUGCCUCUUCCAUUUUCCAUUCACGAAACCUAUCAAUCCACCACAUGAAUGGGGAUGGAAAUAUGUUUAAGAAACAUGAAAAAACUUGUGUGAUUCGCAGGUAAGGAUUAAUAGCAUCUGCAUAAGUAGGUUUCCCUUUGAACUUUCCGUAAUGAACAUGUGUCAGAUAUACUCAGUCAAUCAGUAGAUUUGAUAUCUUUGAACCGUCAAGCUUUGGUGUAUACCUAGACAACCAUAAGCCACACAAUCAGCCCUUAACCGUUUUUGGUUCUUAUUGUUGUGUUUGUUUCAGUGAUGAACACCGCCUGGUUUCAUAAAUGCAUAGAGAAUUGGCCUUACAGAACUCUCUUUGAAGCGGCUAAUACUUCACACUUGCAUAGGUGAUUCCUAAACAUGUUAUGUCGUAGAUACACUAUUUGAUAUACCCCGUAUCAAACUUAGAAACCAUUAAAAAGUCUUAACGCUUUAUCCUUGAUACUGAACAUUGUCUCAUCGCAAGAAUGGACCAAAAAGAAAUUUUAUUAGACAAUGUUGAACCAUCAUUAAUGACUUUGUUUGAGCUCCUUAAACCUAGAUUUUCAUAUCUCCAGUCUUCUAGGAAGAGUUAUCUCCACAAUGACUUGUCCUCGGUCAUAGUCCCAUUUCCCUCGAUGAUCUUUUAACUACCUCUCUAAAUAGUCCUUUUUUUAAUAGAUCCGACUGUCACGACCCGAAAUUCCAACCUCGGGGUCAUGAUGGCGCCUAACAUCUACUUACAAGGCAAGCCGACGUGAACAAAAAAUUAACUAAGUUAAGCAAUUUGAUGACAAGAUAAUAACGAUGAAAAUGGUACAAGUCUGAGGCAUAGUAUGAUAAUACUGAAUAACGAGUCUAAACAUAACCCAAAAAUUGGUGUCACGAGUACAUGAACAUCUAGAUUACUACAAACGUGGUCGGAAUAAAAUACACUAUUUUGAACUCAGAAAAGUAGUAAAUAUAGGAGGGAAGGGGACUUCAUGGCUGCAAACGUUGUGCAGCUGUACCUCAAGUCUCUGUCACGAACUGGACCCGAGCAAAUCUACUGAACCCCGCUAGGACCCACUCCGAAAUCUGCACAAGAAGUGCAGCGUGUAGUAUGACCAACCCCAUGUACUCUAUAAGUGUCGAGCCUAAUCUCGACGAGGAAGUGACAAGGCUAAGUCGGGCCACUUAAAAUAACAUGUAUGCAAUAUAAUACUAAUAACAAGAAAGGAAGACAGGAAAUAAAAGUAAGGCAAUUAAUUUAUGAAAAAGAACUCAAUCCUCACAGUCGGCAAACCCAGAAUAACCGAUCACAUAAUUUCAUGUAAAAAUGUUGAAACCAACACAAUAACAACAACGAAAUCAACAUACACAAUCUGUUGCGGCGCGCAACCCGAUCCCACCGUACACAUUCAAUCCUCCCUUAUUUCACCAUAACAUCGUUUAUCAAUAUCAAGAUUCAUAUAUACAAUUCGUUGCAGCUUGCAACCCGAUCCCACCAUAUCAUCAUAAUCAAUGUCAUAAUCCUCCCUUAUUUCAUCAUGUCACAAUUUAUCAAUAUCAAGUAUUACGUACACAACCGUUGUGGCGCCCAACCCGAUCCCGCCAUAUCAUUACAAUCAAUAUCAAAACUCUCCCUUAUUCCACCAUAUCAUAACCGUUGCGGCAUGCAACCCGAUCCAUAAAUAAUUUUAAUAAAUGUAAUCAAUCCAAUAGCUCAAUUUACAAGAAUCUCUAUGAUUAAGGAAUAUGAAAGCAAAGCAAUAAAGGAACAAUGUACUAAUCAAAGGAAUGCUACAAAUAAUACAAUAGCAACAAGACAAGUCAAGUACGUGACAAUUAAGGUAUGCAAGUAAGACAAUUAAGGCAAGUAUCAAUUAAUCACAGAGUCAUGGAAGGAACGAACAAUUCAAUACAAGAAUGAUUAAUGACAAGUAACAAAUUAUGGCAUAAAAAUUAAUUAAGGUAUGUAACAGUUAAGGCAUAGAGUGAGAUAAUUCAUGAAAUACGAGAAAGACAUGGAAACAAUCAUUUCAUGGGCGUAUAUACACUUGUCACCUCGCAUAUACGUCGUUCACACGUAAUUCACAUAACAUAUAGUUCAAGGUUUCCUAACUUCCUCAAAUCAAGGUUAGACCCAAUACUUACCUCGCUCCGCAAUCAAAUCAAAGCUCAACCUGGGACUUCCCUCUAAAAUUCUCCUCCAAACCAAUCGAAUAUAACCAAAAUUAACUCAAUAUUAUCAAACAAUGCUAGGGAAAUCAAUUAUAAUAGAUAAAGCAAAGAUCUUUAAACUUUUCCUAAAAAGUCAAUAAAAGUGAACUCCGAUCCUGCUUGGUCAAAAACCCGUGAUUCAUACCAAAACCCAGUUAUCCAUUCAUCCUGAGCCCGAUUAUGUGAUUAGUUUCGAAAUUUGACCUCAAUUUGAGGUCUAAAUCUUAAUUUUUACUAAAAUUCCCAAUUUUAUCCAAAUCCCUAAUUUCUAACUUGAAAGAGCAUAAAUUAAAGGUUAGAAAUCAAUGGGUAUUGAUGGAAAUGGAAGAAAAUAAGUUAAAACCUACUAACCUAUGAAGUUGGGAUGAAAUUUCUCUUCAAAAUCGCCUCUAGGCCGAGCUCUAAUGUGAAGAUGGUGAAAAAUGAAGAAAAUCCCGAUUUUGGGAUAUUUAAAAUCACUGGCGUCAGGUCUUCAUCGCGUUCGCGAAGAACCUGAUUCGGUCACGAAGCACUGUAGCUAGGGCUACUUAUCGGGCAGAUCGGACGGUUAUUUACUCUUUAACGGUUCGGUUUAUCGGUUAUCGGCUUUUAAAUGUAUUAAUCUGCUAGUCACCUUGUCACGACCCAAAAUUCCCACCUUUGGGGCCGUGACGGCGCCUAACAUUUCGCUUGCUAGGCAAGCCAACGUUAGAAUAAUAUUCGCCAUUUUUAAAUAAUUUUAAAUUAAUUAAUAACAAAGAAAAAAAUGCGAAAAUAAAGUGAAUAAUCCAUAAUAUUAGCGAUGUCUAAAUACCAUCCCAGAACUGGUGUCACACGUGCACGAGCUACUAGAAUGAUACAAAUAGAGGUCUGAAUGAAAAUGAAGAUGUCUGAAAGAAAUACACACCUACGAUAAAGUGGAAGGGGAUUUCAGAACUGCGAACGCCAUGCAGUCAUACCUCAAGUCCCCUGCGAAUAGCUGAAUCCGAGCAAAUCUACUGUACGCCGCUGGGACCAACUCUGGUAUCUGCACAAGAAGUGCAGAGCGUGGUAUGAGUACAACCGACCCCAUAUACUCUGUAAGUGCCGAGCCUAACCUCAACUAAGUAAUAACGAGGCUAAGGCAGGCCAUUUACAUUAACCUGUACGCAUUAAUAAUAAUAAUAAUAAUAAUAAUAAUAAUAAUAAUAAUAAUAAUAAUNNNNNNNNNNNNNNNNNNNNNNNNNAUCACUUAUAAUAUGCCUCGUACACUUAUUAUCAUAUCCAAUUGAUAUCCAUCAUAUUAAUAGUCCUCAAAUGAGAAGUAGAGUCCGCCCCCAAAUACAUAACAUAACUUAUCUCGUCUUUCACCCAUUUUAAUUUCUCGAAUUUUUACUAACUCCCAAAAUUUUCAAAAAUUUUGCCAGAGUUUCCUUUGUAGCUGGGCCUAUCCACCUGUCAGAGAAUCCCAGAAACCAAUCCUAAUAACACAUACAUAAUCUAAUAAACGUAACACAACAUGGAAACGAUACUAACAAUGGCCUCAUAAACAAUAUAUUACUAGAAAAGGAAUGCCAUUAACAUCAACUAUUCAGGUGAUACGUAACUCAUAGCAGGUAAGCUCUCAACAUCAUCAUAUAACACAGAAUUGAACGUUUAAAUUAAAGAUGAUAUUUUUAGGUCAUCACACACCCGAUAAGAUAUCAGGUAGAUUGGUAUUGGUUUAGCUAUUAUCGGGCGGUUUAUCGUCCUAAUUGAUUCUGUAUUACAGAGGCCUAUUUUGGUUCCUCGUAUUAUACUGUUACUAGUAAAUACCAGCAAACGCCAGUUUAGUUUGCAUGUAUUCCCACUAUUUUUCGUUGUUACCUUCAAUGGUCGUAAAACACAAGCCAUUGCUUGUUACUAUAUUCUUUUGGUCAACAAUUUGGUCCAUCUGGUGGCAUUAGGAUCAUAUUUACCUAUAUAUUUAUAACAUGCAAAGAAGGAGAUUGUUGGCAUGUUAUAAGUUUGAGCAACGGAACAAAAUGGAAAUUCUUCAACAGUGGAUAUAUAUUCCUAACCGGUUAACGGUUUAUCCGAUAAAAAAAUUGAAUAGUCCUCUCCCAAAUCGAUAAGCCGUUAAUAAUAAAAUUUCGAUAUGUUCCUCAUCCGUUAAACCAAUAACCCAAUACCAAUAAGCCACUUUUGUGGUUCGGUUUUCAGUUUUGAACACCCCUAACUGCGGCCCAAUUGGCCUUCGUGUUCGCGAGAUGUUAUUCGUGCUCUCGAUGGAUAUCCCCCUGGCCAUCGCAUUCACGACCCUUUGAUCGUGUUCGCGAAGAACACCCAGCUGCUCCCCUCCCAGACCCCUUACUCAUCGCGUUCACGAGUGAAGAGCCGCAUUCGCGGAGGGUUACCCCUCCAAUGCUCCGCGUUCGCGGGCCCUCCUCCAGGCUCGCAAAGAAGAAAUCCUCCCCAGUCCCCAGUUACCCUUUGCGAUCACGAGAGUAGUUUCGUGAUCGCGAAGAAGAAUACACCAGAUAUCAGCAGUUGUGAAAACCAGCAAUCCUUCAAGUUUGAAAAUGGUCUGUAUCCUAUCCAAAACUCUCGGGAGACCCUUGAUCUCCAAAACAAACAUGCACACAAGUGUAAUAAUAUCAAUAAGAACUCGCUCGCACGAUCAAAAUAUCAAAAUAACACCUAGAACCACGAACCGUACAUCGAAAAUGUAUUAAAUUUUCAAUGAAACUUAAGGGCUUUCAAGUUUACAACCGGACAUCCGAAUCACGUCAAAUCAAUUCCGUUUUGCAUCAAAUUUUACAGACAAGUCAUAAAUAGUGGAAAAAACCUAUACCAAGUUCCGAAACUGAAAUACGAACCUCGGUAGCAACAAAGUCAACCUACGAUCAAACUUAGGAAUUCUUUAAACCUUCAAAUUACUAGUUUUCAACAAUUCACAUUAAAUCAAGUUAGGGACUUCCGAAUUCGAUUCAAGUCCAAAAUCACGAUACGGGCCCACUGGAUCGUCAAAAUACUGAUCCGGGUCUGUUUACACAAAAUGUUGACAGUAGUCAACUUAAAUCAUUUUAAGGCCAAAUUUCAUAUUUUCUUCAAUUUUUCACAUUAAAAUUUUCCGGAAGAGACACGGAAUGCGCACGCAAAUUGAGUAAUGCCAAACGGGGCUAUUCGACGUCUCAAAACACAUAAAUGUAGGCUAAAACUCAAAAUGACCUAUCGGAUAAUCACACUCUCCACCUCUAAACCAAAUGUUCUUCCUCGAACGGACAUAGAAAGGUACUUGGACUGGUGAAGAGGUGUGGGUAUCUACUCCGCAUGUCAUACACGGACUCCCAUGUGGCUCCCUCGAUUAGUUAACCUCUCCACUCUACUCUAACUGAAAGAUAACUCUUAGACCUCAACUUCCAGACUUACCGGGCUAGAAUGGCCACCGACUCCUCAUCAUAAGUUAAAUCCUUGUCCAAUUGGAUUGAGCUAAAUCACUAUUUAUGAAGUUCCGUGCACUCCUUAUAUUAUAAAGAAAAAAGUAAGUAUGAUGCCCCGGUAGACGCGCAGAGUCGAGAAGCAGAGAGAGGCCAAAAAUUAUAUAAGAGCACAUGAGGCAGAUUUGAUUGGCUUGGUGGAAACCAAAGUGAGGAGUGGAAAGGCAUCCACCUACUAGGAUGAGGCAUAAAGGGAAUUGAACCCACAUCUCGUUGAGAUUCUCCAGCAAGCACCCCUUUCGGAAGCUCAAUUUGUAGGACCGGGGAGAACACUCACAAGCGUGCAAGCGUUUUGAGAGAGCGCAAAACUCUUUGCUUUCUUCUUUCGGCCAGAUCAACGGAUGAGUGGCCUUAUUCGACACCUCUUUCUCUUAUGGCUAGAUAACAUAUGGGACAGAUCACCAUGAUACUUCUGGAGUAUGGACACAUGGAACACCAGAUGGACUGCUGAUAAACUAGGUGGCAGUGCAAGCCUGUAGGCCACCUUACCCACUCUCUCAAGAAUCUCAAAAAGGUUGAUAUACCUAGGGCUCAACUUGCCUUUCUUUCCGAAUCGCAUCAUACCCUUCAUGGGUAAAACUCGUAGUAGAACCCUCUCUUCAACCAUGAAUGCAACGUCACAAACUCUCCAAUCGGCAUAACUUUUCUGUCUAGACUGAGUUGUACGAAGGCAAUAUCCUGAAUCAUCUUGACCUUUUUCCAAGGCAUCCUAAACCAAAACGGUACCCAACAACCGAGCCUCUUCCGACUCAAACCAAUCAACUGGCGAAUAGCACUGCAUCCCGUAUAAAGCCUCAUAGGGAGCCAUCUGAAUGCUUGAUUGUUAGUUGUUGUUGUAGGAAAACUCUAAGUGGCAAGAACUGAUCCUAAGAACCCCCAAAAUCCAUAACACAAGCACGGAGCAUAUCCUCCAAUAUCUGAAUGGUACACUAGGACUGUCCAUCCAUCUGGGAAUGAAAUAUUGUACUCAACUCAACCCGUGUACCUAACUCACGCUGUACGGCCCUCCAGAAGUACGAGGUGAACUACAUACCUCGAUCAGAAAUGAUGGACACGGGCACACCGUGAAGAUAGAUGACCUCACGGAUAUAGAUCUCAACCAACCGCUCUGAAGAGUAGGCAACUGCUACUGGAAUGAAAUGCGCCCACUUGGUUAACUUGUCCGCCCAACAACGAAAUCCAUGGUAAUACGCUCCCACUUCUAUUCAGGAAUCUCCAACCUCUGAAGAAAACCACUAGUCCUCUGAUUGUGACGCCCCGAACAAUAGCCUGGGUGUAACACGACACUCGGUGCCUGACUAUAUGUGACCGAGCGAACCAACUGCUGGCUGAAUCAACAUGCGAUAUCAUAACAUUUUGAAUGCGAAAGAUAAACUAAUAUAUGUUGAUAUAUUGAAAUUCUGAAUGAUAAUAAAUCAAAGUGUGAAAACACUAAUACAAUUCUAAAACAUACUUGUAGCCGGCAUGGCUUAACAUGAAAAGCCUUCGACUAUGUCUAACUGUUACUCUAGUCUUUGAAGACUCUAAUAAAGUACUGAAAAUAUUGGUUGUUUGAAAAUACUGAAGAUUGUAUUAAUGAUAAUGCCCCGAAAGAACUAGGAUCACCAAAUAGCUGGUACGAGAAUCCAAGCGCUCUAAAUCAUCAACUUGUAAAUCAUUACCUGCAUCGUGAAACGCAGGUCUCUGCAAAAAGGGAUAUCAGUACAUUUGAAUUGCACUGGUAUAUAAAGCAACUGAAAGAAAGAACUGUAAAUAUUGAUAUUGAAACUGAACUGAUAACUGAUAACUAAUAACUGAGAACUGAUAGCUAAUAUUUGAUAAUUGAAAUGAUAACUAAUAACUGAAAUGAUAACUGAUGACUGAUAACUGAUAACUGAACUGAACAAAGGAAGUAAGGAUAUGAAUACUCCCUCUUCUGAAUGAUGAACCACCUAUUUAUCUGAAUAAAUAAAUUGUGGCCUAAUAUAUAUGUGCACAAACUGUGGCCUCGAGCCCUAGUAUACGUAUACAUAACUGUUGCAUCAGGCCCAAAGAUGAAUAAAGGAUAAACCGCGGCAUCAUGCCCAAAGAUGCAUAAAGCAUAAAAUGAGGCCUUAGGCGCAAAGAUGCAUAAAACAUAAACUGCAGCCUCAGACCCAAGUACAAGGGAUCAACAUUCAUGGAUUUAAAAUUAGGAACUGAGAAUCAUACUGCAAUACAUGAUACUGAAUACUAAACCAUAUUGAGUUACAUGAUACUGGAAUGCUCAAUAGAACUAGACUGAGACAUGUAUUCAUGAACUAAUUAUGAGAGCUUAUGCUUCAACUGUUUAUGACAUGCUGGUAAUAUAGACUUAGAUUCAUGGAUAUUAAACACAAGUUUAUAUUGAUUACACACUGAGCUCACAACGUUCAAAAUGAAAGUCAUGAACGGAUUACGAAGCUAGAGAAUAGAAGUUCUGCAACUAUUCAAGGAACGAGGCUUAACUAUAUUUUUGAGGCAAUUAGUAACUUUGUAAAAGAAACGUAGUGUAGGGAGAAUCAUCAACAUUACAAAACAUAGAGAGUUAGCUUCACAUACCUUAACUUCCUGCUCUUAAGCGUAAUACAAAAUUCGCCAACCUUUUCAACUUUAAUCUAUAUCAAUACAAGUCAAAGGGAUUGUAUAUUAGCAAUAAUAUUCAUGUGUUGGUCACUUAAGCAUUUUAUCAAACACCUUAUGAGCGUUAAGCCUCAUAACCCUCAUUAAUAGUGUCUCUACACCCAACAACCCCAUUCUCUUACUCCUAAUAAAUUCUAAAAUCUCAAAUUUGUUAUAAUUAAUAGCAUUCAUCGUCACCCAUAAGAUAAACAAUACCCUUAACCAAUAAUUAACAAUCAACAACACAAACCUAUGUCUGAUCAUGCUUUUCUAUCAAAACCAUCAACUCAUAUCUCAUGAACUUAGAGUCUAUAAUCAUUAAUCCAAUGCUAUAAUCAAUUAGAGGGUGCAGAUAUUGCCUUUUGACGUUCAAUCCUCUUGAAUUCGAGUUUUAAGGUUUCUUUUCUCAACAAUGAUGUCUCAAUCAAAUAUCUGAUGAUUUGAAGGGUUUACCCAUGUUAAUAUGGUAUUGGAGAAUCGAAAUUAACUUAGAAUCACCAUUAGAACUCACCUUGGAUGGUGGAGGGACCUUUGAGGAGUUAGGUUCUUGAGAGCUUCCCUUUCUAGAGCAAGGUUAUGUAUUUUGGGGUGUAGGGGACGAGGUAGGGCUUAUAAAAUGGCUUCCCGGGUGCUCCCUCAUGCAAAUGAAGGCUCAACCAUUCACCUGAACAUGUAUCGGGUCAGUAGCACUGCCACACGUGUGGGGCCGCGCACGAUAUCUUCUGGACGUGCAUACUGCUCAUUGUCCAGUAAAAUGCACAUAAAUGUUUGCUCAAAAAUCCGUUCGGGCUCUACAAUAUAUAUUUGGAAAGUAAUUUCAAAGGGAUACAACUUUCAUGUUUUAAGUUUUCCCAAAUUUUCAACAGAGUUUCACGAAAUCCUGAUAUAAGACAGAUUUUUCAUACACUUAGUCGAUUUUAUCGAAUCUUAUGCACCACACUCUCUGCCUUGAUUCCAAAACAACUAUUUCCACCCAUACUCAUCUCGAUGGAACUUCACAUAUCUAAAAUAUCACAUUAAUACUCAUUUAACAUGUCCACGCCUAGUUUGAAUUUUUGGAGUGUUACAUUAUCUCCGCUUGGGAUCAUUCGCCCUCGAAUGAUUUUCCUGACUGUAACUCCGGCUAACUUUGGACUUUAAACGGGUCUGGUGAAAACAUUGACUUUCAUGAACACUUGCAUACUAAACUGAAUGAAUAUGUAAUUACUGAACUGUUGAGAUACUGAAUUGAAUGACUACUACAUUAACUGAAUACUAAGCUGACUGAAUACUGAAGGACAUGGAGAUUAAAAUAUAAGGUCUGAAUGAAAAAGGUUAGUUACAUCCAACAUUUAUCCAAAACACCUGCCAGCUACCAUAGCAUAACACAAGCCUCGCAUGGCAACAUAAUGUGCCUAACAUGAAAUAUAUAUGUUAAUAUUGGUCUGCCACGGAUACGUGAAUACUGAACUAACAUGGAUAUAUGAAUAUUGAACUGGCGCGAAUAUUUGAGUACUAACUGAUAUCAAUAUCCGAAUACUAAGCUGGCAUAAACAUCUGAGUACUGGAUUGACAUGAGUAUCUAAAUAUUGGAAACCUGAAUGUUAUCACAUGAUACAGAAGUACUGGGUGUACAACGGCAAAUUCUAGUGGCAACUCUAACUCAUAAGAUACUUGACCGAUCCUUCGUAGGAUCCUAUACAACAUGAUGUAUCUGGGACUGAGCUUUCCUUUCUUCCCAAGUGUUAUAACACCUUUCGAAGGCAAAACUUUCAGAAACACCCAAUAAUCAACUUGAAACUCUAGGUCUCUACGCCGCACGUCCGAAUAGGAUUUUUGGAGACUCUGAGCCAUCUUCAAGUGCUCUUGAAUCAACUUUAUUUUCUCCACAACCUGAUAGACCAAAUUUGGUCCCAACAACUCUGCUUCACCAACUUCAAACCAAACAAUGAGAGACCUACACCUUCGCUCAUACAAAGUCUCACACUGUGCCAUCUUGAUACUAGAAUUGUAGCUGUUAUUAUAAGUAAAUUCAAUGAGAGGUAUGUGAUCAUUACAAUUACCUUUAAAAUCAUGGACAUGUCCUUAAGUGUUUGAUUAAUGCGCUCUGCCAGGCAUAUUUCUGAGGAUAAAAAUUAUGCUGAGGUUUGCUCUUGUGCCUAAUCCUUUCUUAAAGGUCCUUUAAAAGUUCUUUGCAAACUGAGCACCAUGAUCUGAAAUGAUGGACAACAUAGUCCCAUGCAAUCAGACAAUUUACUGGAUAUACAACUUGGCAUAAUCCUCUGGUGAAUCUGUAGUCUUUACUGGCAAGAAGUGCACUAACUUGGUAAGUCGAUCUAUAAUCACCCAAUCAAAUCAUGCUUUCAAAAUGGGCGAGACGAUCCUGUUAUAAAGUCCAUAUCUAUCAUCUCCACUAAGGAAUAUGUGUAUUUUGUCGUAAUACACUAGGCUUUCUGUUGCUCGACUUUUAUUUGCUGAUAAUUCGGACACUUGUCCAAAAAGUAUACAACUUACUUUUUCAUAUCGUUCCACCAAUAAAUCUUCUUUGAGCAUGAUACAUCUUUGGGGAGUCUGGGUGGAUACAAUACCUGGAAUUAUGGAUUUUUAACAUGAUCAUCCUCUCUAAGUCCAUCUAUGUCUGGAGCACACGGUCCGUCUUAGUACCUCAAAGUACCAUCAUCUCCCCUCUUGUACAAAAUCCAUCAUCUUAAGCUUGUGAAUCCCCUCUUUCAGCUGCAACCAGUAGGGAUCAUCAAUAUAUUUCUCUUUCACUUCGGCUACUAUGAAGGAACAAGUCCCUUUUUGGACAACAACUCUACUAUCUUCGGAGUCCAAAAGUCGAACUCCUAGCUUGGCUAAGCGCUGGACUUCUUUAACAAUAGUUCUCUUGUCUGCCUCAAUCAUAAGUUAUACUUCCCAUACUAGAUUAUCUUUUUAAGGUACUUCUUGAAAACACUUAUAGUAUUGUUGCGAGCUAAGUCUUUGGCCAGUACUCCGAAAUUAGAAUCUCGUGCAAUGGCACUACCAUCAUGAUACAUAACUGGGCAUGAUUUUAUAGAUUUUAUAUCCCAUGCUAACUAUGCGAGUUUCAAAUCUCCAACUGGACUUACUAAUGAUUUUCAUAUCUCCCCCUUAAACCAAAGGUUAAAGUCUUGUACUUGCAGAUCCUUCUAUUUUGUUGGGAUCCGGAUAACUUUCCUUGUCUUAUGCAAUUCUUUGCACUUUACAUCAAUGACAACUCAUCUUCUGACUAACUUCUGGGCAAUCUUUCUUACAAGGAAAAACUAAAUUACUUACAUAAAUAGAAAGCUAAUGUAUUCACAACUAUCAUACACAAUUUUAAUGAUUUGAAUCUGCUCACGCUGUCAAUCUUAGGAAGACCCUUUUUUGAUAACUUUUAAAGGCUAUUUUUCUGUAGCUUGCUCUCUUACUGCCUAUCUGAUUUUUUCUCCCAUUGUCAAUUUACUUUGGGUUUAACCUCAACUCUUUGGGUUCUAACACGCUUUAGAUAUUUCAAAUUGUCAUCCACUCACUAGAUUUAACCUGGCUAAGUGAAUCAAAUCUUACCUCUACUAGCUCUGUUGAAAUUGCUAAUUCACUAUAUCUACUCAAAACUUACUUACUAUUCUUUUACUAAUCAUCUGCUAGCAUCAUGUUUUCUUAUUCUACUUUGAAUAACUAAAGUGAAGCAUAAGGUUAUUCCUAACUUCCCUCACCAUCUGACCCUAUUCUACGGUCGCAUACUUAUUUUUGAACUAUGUACAUGGAUCACACUUACAUAAAUUUCAUUUGUCUUAAACGAAAUUGGAAUAUCUAACCCCAAACUUUCUAUACACUUCAAAAUCAUAUCGAACUAUAAACAUCUGGGUAAACACUUAGUCACAUGACCUAAGGAAAAAUUGUUAUAUCUUUUAUCUCACAAUAAAAGUUGUUCCUUAUAGUAACUUACUAACGUGGUACUUUCUAGUUCUGAUUUGAAUUAAUACCAACAACUUAAAAUCAUUCCCUAAAAUCCAAUAUUGCAUGCUCUUCUUUCUCAUUUCGUACAUCAUAUCUUCUUAGUAAUUUUUCCUUGGGCUCUUUUGUAUCCAAAACUAUAGUGAUCAAUUCUAUGCACAUUGCGGUUAAAUUGUUAACAUGUUACACAGUGGGGUCUGACAUAUGAAUACACUACGAUACACAAACUUGUCCUUCAGAGUAUAGCAUCAUCUGAUAAAUUACUCCCUGCACCAUCCAGCCAGUCUUGGGUCUUAAUCCUGACCUAAAACAUGCAAAGAUUUCGCUAUAAUCACAGUUAAUUAUAUUUUCUUUUAGAACCCAUAGGCAUCACUAUAUACUCACAAGUCACCAGAAAUUGGAUACACUAAAAAUUGAAGAUCAGGUAACUAAAUAACUAAAUAAAGGCAUACUGAAUAACCAUAAACUUGCAAACUGAAAGAUUGUAUAACUGGUAAUUGAGGUAAACUGAUAACCAUAAAACAUGCUCCAUAAUUAUACUCCAAUGGGCAAUUAUCCUCUCUAAGACCUUGAGUUUUUCUUGCCCGUCGUUUGGGCAUCCAAUACAUCUAGAAUUUGAUAGGAAGAGAAGGUUACCUAUUGCUCUAAGCUUNNNNNNNNNNNNNNNNNNNNNNNNNNNNNNNNNNNNNNNNNNNNNNNNNNNNNNNNNNNNNNNNNNNNNNNNNNNNNNNNNNNNNNNNNNNNNNNNNNNNNNNNNNNNNNNNNNNNNNNNNNNNNNNNNNNNNNNNNNNNNNNNNNNNNNNNNNNNNNNNNNNNNNNNNNNNNNNNNNNNNNNNNNNNNNNNNNNNNNNNNNNNNNNNNNNUAUGCAUGGCCGACACAUACAAAUAAAGGAAACUCCACUGGACACAGCUUCAUAAACUUCCUAGGACACUUGAACCAUGCUCUGAUACCAAGCUUUGUCACGCACCGAACCAUGGCCUGGGCGUAACACGACACUCGGUGCCUGACUACAUAUGACCGAGAGAACCAACUGAUGGCUAAAUCAACACGUGAUAUCAUAACAUACUCAAUGCGGAAGAUAAACUAAUAUAUGCUGAUAUACUAAAAUUAUGAAUGAUAAUAAAUCAAAGUGCGAAAACACUAAUACAAUUCUAAAACAUAUUUGUAACCAACAUGGCUUAACAUGAAAAGCCCGCGACUAUGUCUAAUUAAUACUCUAGUCUAUGAAGCCUCUACUGAAGUACUGAAAACACUAACUGUUUGAAAAUACUGAAGACUGUAAGGUAAUGAUAAUACCUCGAAAGAACUGGGGAUCACCAAAUAUCUGGUACGAGAAUCCUAGCGCUUUGAAUAAUCAACCUGUAAAUCAUUACCUGCAUAGGGAUAAGUAAGCCCCAAGCAAAAAGGACAGCGGUACAUUUGAAUUGCACUGGUAUAUAAAGAAACUGAAAGAAAGAACUGUAAAUAUUGAAACUAAAACUGAACUGAUAACUAAUAACUGAGAACUGGUAGCUAAUAUUUGAUAAUUGAAAUGAUAACUCAUAACUGAACUAAACAAAGGAAGUAAGGAUAUGAACACUCAUUCUUCUGAAUGAUGAACCACCUAUUUAUCUAAAUAAAUCAACUGUGGCCUCAGGCCUAAUAUAUAUGUGCACAAACUUCAGGCUCGAGACCAAAUAUACGUAUACAUAACUGCGGCCUCAGGUCCAAAGAUGCAUAAAGCAUAAAUUGUGGCCUCAGGCCCAAAGAUGCAUAAAGUAUAAACUGCAGCCUCAGGCCCAAGUACAGGGGUUCAACAUUCAGGGAUUUAAAAGUAGGAACUAAGAAUCAUAAUGCAAUACAUAAUACUGAAUACUGAACCAUAUUGAGUUACAUGAUACUGGAAUGAAUAGAACUAGACUGAGACAUGUAUUCAUGAACUGAUUAUGAGAGCUUAUGCUUCAAUUGUUUAUGACAUGCUGGUAAUCUAGGCUGAGACUCAUGGGAAUUAAAAACAAGUCUAUAUUGAUUACGCACUGAGCUCACAACGUUCGAAAUGAAAGUCAUGGACGAAUUACGAAGCUAGAGAAUAUAAGUUCUGCAACUAUUCAAGCAACUAGGCUUAACUAUAUUUUUGAGGCAAUUAGUAACGUUGUAAAGGAAAUGUAGAGUAGAGAGAAUCAUUAACAUUCCCAAAGAUAGAGAGUUAACCUCACAUACCUUAACUUCCUUCUCUUGAGCGUAAUACAACAUUCGCUAACCUUUUCAACUUUAAUCCAUAUCAAUACAAGCCAAAGGGAUUCCAUAUUAGCAAUAAUACUCAUGUUUUGGUCACUUAGGCAUUUUAUCAACAUCUUAUGAGCGUAAAGCCUCGUAGCCGUCAAAUGGUGUCUCUACACCCAACAACCCCAUUCUCUUACUCCUAAUAAAUUCUAAAAUCUCAAAUUUGUUAUAAUUAAUAUCAUUCAUCAACAAUCGAAACCUAUGUCCGUUCAUGCUUUUCUAUCAAACCCAUCAACUCAUAUCUCAUGAACUUAAAGUCUAUAAUCAUUAAUCCGAUGCUAUAAUCAAUUAGAGGGUGAAGUUAUUACCUUUUGACGUUCAAUCCUCUUGAAUUCGAGUUCUAGGAUUUCUUAUCUCAACAACGAUGUCCCAAUUAAAUAUCUAAUGAUUUGAAGGGUUUUCCAUGUUCAUAAAGUGUUGGGGAAUUGAAAUUAACUUAGAAUCACCAUUAGAACUCACCUUGGAUGGUGGAGGGACCUUUGAGGAGUUAGGUUCUUGAGAGCUUCCCUUACUAGAGCAAGUUUUUGUAUUUGGGUGUGGGGGACAAGGUAUGGCUUAUAAAACGACUUCACGGGGUGUGCCCCACACAGAUGAAGGCCCAACCGUGCACCUGAGCAUGCAGUAGGGCAAUAGCACUGCCACACAUGCGUGGUCGUGCAAGGGACCAUCUGAGCGUGCAUAGUGCGCGUUAUCUUGUAAAACGCAUAUAAAGUUUUGUGCAGAAAUCUGUUUGGGCUCCACAAUAUAUCGUUGGAAAUCUAUUUCAAAGGACUAUAUCUUUCAUGCUUUAAGUUUUCCCAAAUAUUUAACAUAUAUUCACAACAUCUUGAUAUAAUACAGACCUUCCAUAAACUUAGUCUAUUUUAUCGAAUCUUAUGCACCACACUCUCCGCCUUGAUUCCAAAAUAACUAUUUUCACCCAUACUCAUCAUGAUGGGACUUCACAUGUCUAAAAUAUCACAUUAAUACUCAUUUAACAUGUCCACACCUAGUCCAAAUUUAUGGAGUGUUGCACUGAUGAUCGUACUUUACUUGCUGAUAAUGCAAACACCAAGCUACAUAAUGCAACAUUAUCGUUCUUCAUCUUUAUCCACUAAUAAUGCUGCCUCAAGUCCUGAUACAUCUUGGCAGCACCCCGAUGAAUGGAGUAUCGCGAACUGUAGGCCUCCUCAUGAAUUAACUCACGAAGCUCAUCCACAUUGGGCACACAAAUACAACCCUGUAUCCGCAACACCCAUCAUUUCCAAUAGUAACUUGGUUGGAACCACCGUGCCGCAUCGUGUCCUUAAGGACAAGCAAAUGGAGGUCAUCAUAUUGACGCUCUCUGGUGCGCUCAUACAUGAAAACCGAGAGGCCGUGCAAGCUAGAACACAACUGGGCUCCGAAACAUACCCACAAACUGAUUGGCCAAUAACUGAACAUCUAAUGCUACAAGCAUCUCUUCAACUGGAAUAUAUGCAAGGCUACCCAUACUCACAACCUUCCUACUCAAGGCAUCAGCCACCACAUUGGCCUUCCUAGGAUGAUAAAAAAUGGUGAUAUCAUAGUCUUUCAAUAACUCUAACCACCUCCUCUGCCUCGAGAUCAGAUCCUUUUGCUUGAACAAAUACUGUAGACUCCGAUGAUCCGUGAACACCUUACACGAUACGCCGUAGAGGUAAUGCCUCCAAAUCUUCAGUGCAUGAACAAUGGUUGCCAACUCUAAGUCAUGAAUAGGGUAAUUUUUCUCAUGAACCUUCAUCUACUAUGACAUGUAUGCAAUCACCCUGCCAUCCUACAUCAAUAUUGCACUAAUCCCAAUACGAGAUGCAUCAAAAUACACCGUGUAAGAUCCUGAACUUGUGUGCAACACCAACAUCGGUGUCGUAGUCAAAACAAUAUUGAUCUUUUGAAAUCUCAACUCACACUCAUCGGAAUACCUGAACGAAGCACCCUUCUAGGUCAAUCUAGUCAAUGGGGUUGAAAACCCCUCCACGAACCGGCGAUAAUUACCCGCCAAACCUAGGAAACUCCAAAUUUUAAUAGCUGAAAUGGGCCUAGGCUAGUUCUGAACUGCCUCAAUCUUCUUAGCAUCCACUCUUAUGCCCUCGAUCGAUACAACAUGCCCCAAAAGGCGACCCAGUCUAACCAAAACUCACACUUUGAAAACUUGGCAUAUAACUGACUAUCUCUCAGAGUCUGAAGUACAAUCUGGAGAUGCUGCUCAUUCUCCUCUCUGCUACGGGAGUAGAUCAAUAUAUUGUCAAUGAAUAUGAUCACAAAAGAAUCCAAGUAGGGCUUGAAUACCUGGUUCAUCAAAUCUAUAAAUGAUGUUGGGGCAUUUGUCAACCCAAAUGAUAUUACUAGGAACUCAUAAUGCCCAUACCGAGUCCGAAAAGCCAUCUUAGGGAUAUCUGAUGCCCUAAUCUUCAACUGAUGGUAGCCAGACCUCAAAUCAUUCUUUGAAACACUUUUCCAUCCUGAAGCUAAUCAAAUAAGUCACCAAUCCUUAGCAACGAAUACUUUUUCUUGAUAGUGACCUUGUUCAGCUGCCGAUAGUCUAUACACAUCCUUAUCGAACCAUCCUUGUUCUUCACAAACAAUAAGGGCGUACCCCAAGGCGAGACACUAUGUCUAAUAAAUCCUUUAUCAAGCAAGUCUUGCAGCUGCUCUUUUAAUUCCUUCAACUCUGGCGGGGUCAUACGGUAUGGUGGAAUAGAAAUGGACAGAGUGCCCAGAGCCAAUCAAUACAGAAGUCGAUAUCUCUGUCGGGUGGCAUCCCCGACAGAUAUGUAUGAAGCACCUCUGGAAACUCACGCACGACUGGUACCGAAUCUAUGGAAGGAACCUCCGCACUAGAAUCGCGAAUAUAAGUCAAAUAAGUUAAACAUCCCUUCUCGACCAUACACCGAGCCUUGACAUAAGAAAUAACCAUGAUGGUAGAAUGGCUAGGAGUCCCUCUCCACUCUAAUCGAGGCAACCCCAGUAUGGCUAAGGCCACUGUCUUGGCGUGACCAUCCAAUAUAGCAUGAUAAGGUGAUAGCCAAUCCAUACCCAAGAUAACAUCAUAGUCCACCAUAUGAAGAAGUAGGAGAUCUACUCUAGUCUCUAGACUUCCGAUAGAAGCCACACACGAGCGAUAGACACGAUCUACAACAAUAAAAUCUCCCACAGGCAUGGACAUAUAUAUAGGAGCACUCAAAGAAUCAUGAGGCACAACCAAAUAUAAAGCAAAAUAGGAUGACACAUAGGAAGAAGUAUAGCCAAUCAAAUAGAAAUGAAGCAUCUCUAUGGAAAACUGGAAUAAUACUUGUGAUGAUGGAGUCAUAUGAAUCGGCCUCAGGUCUAGCUGGAAUGCAUAAAACCGAGGCUGGGCCCACCACCCUGACCUCCAUCACUCACAUGGCCUCUAGCUAACUGGCCUCUACCUCUAAUGGCUUGACCUCUACCUCUAACGGAAUGACCUCUACCUCUGGAUGCCUGCCCCCUGCCUCUAGCUGCCUGAGCAGGCAGUGGAGCAACCGGUGUCGGGACCAUGGUACGAGAACCCUACUGUGGCAUGCUGCUUAACAAUCUUGGAUAGAACCUCCUGAUAUGACCAGUACCCCCACACUCAAAAUACUUAUCCUGCUGUUGUGGCUGCUGAAGCUAAAACUAACCCAAACGGGCAGGAUAACCAAGGUGGUAGCUCUGGAUAGGAGGUGCACUAAUCGGAGUUGAUGGUGCACUAUAGGUUGGUUGCCCAGAAUGAGAUACAUAAGGAACACGACUCCCCCAAGUAUUAUGAGAUGCAUAAAGCUCUAACUAAAAUGGCCUAGGAGGAUGGCCUCUACCAAAAGUCCCCCUGCCUCCAGAUGAGGCACCACUAAAACCACCGGAAUGACGAGGCCUCUUAUCAGACACCGACCCCCUCUCCUGACCACGGACCAUCUCGAUUCGUUUAGCAUUAUCUACGGCCCUCUGGAAAGAGAUAUCAUCUCUAGUCUCCUUGGCCAUCUAUAGCCUGAUACUGAAAGUGAGUCUAUCAAUGAAGCUCCUCUCUCUCUCCCUCUCAGUAGGGAGUGAAAUAAUGGCACGGCGAGCUAGGUCCACAAAUCGAGUCUUAUACUGGGUAACAGUCAUGCUACCCUACUGAAGACACUCAAACUGCAUGCAAUAGUCCUUGCUGUGAAAACUGAUCCUAGGUAAGUGCACGCGAACCAGCUGGUCUAGUUAACAUAUAAUCCCUUCACCAUCUCUUAGCAGAACUGAUCAUCUGGAACACUGCAAAAUCGACCCCAUUGAUCUCAACUAUACCCAUGUUACGCAAUACCUCGUGGCAACAGUCCAAGUAAUCAUAUGGAUACUCAGAAGGUGCACCGUUGAAAUGGAAAAGAAAGAGCUUGGUAAACUUAUCCAGUCUCAACAAAGUCGCAAAAGACAUAGAGGGCCUAUCACGGGCCUGUGCCGCAACAACUGGUUAAACCACCCCAACUGGCUAGGCUACUAGGGUAUGAUAUAGGGGAGCCACCUGCUCCGGGGUAUGAGUAGCGGGAGUCUGUGCUCCUCCCCCAGCCUGAGAGAUGGCUGGUGCAACCAGAAAUGCGUCGGUAUGGGCCACACUCUGCAUAAGGCCCACCAAGUGGACUAGAGCGUCCUAAAGCAUUGGAGUAGCUAUGAAUCCCUCCGGAACCUGAGCCAGUCCGACAGGUACGACAUAAGCUAGAACCUCCUCCUCAUGAUCAAUCAGAGGCUCCACUGCGGGUGUUGCUGCUCGAGCACUAGGCAGAGCUCAGCCUCAGCCUUUAGCUCGACCUCGGCCUCGACCUCUGCCCUUGGUAGGAGCUGCCACAGGGGGCUUUAGCUCCUGUCCGGCUGCUGAUGACGUGCGUGUUCUCGCCAUCUGCGAGAGAACAUGAAUAGAAUAGUUCAAUCAUUAUGAUAGAAUGAAAUUGCAUGAUAGAGAAAAAAAGAAGUGAAAUUUUUCCUAAACUUCAUAGCCUCUGUAAGAUAAGUACAGACGUCUCCAUAUUGAUCCUCCAGACUCUACUAAGCUUGCUCAAGACUAGUGAGACCUAGGCAAACUAGUGCUGCUACCAACUUGUCACGACUCAGAAUCCUAACCUCGGGGUCAUGAUGGUGCCUAACAUCUACUUGCUAGGCAAGCUGACGUGAACAGAAAAUUAACUAAGUUUAAUUUUUUUAUGAUAAGAUAGUAACGAUGAAAAUGGUACAAGUCAGAGGCAUAGUAUGCUAAUACUGAAUAACGAGUGUAAACAUAACCUAGAAACCGGUGUCAUGAGUACAUGAAUAUCUAGAUUGAUACAAACAUGGCCUGAAUAAAAUACACUAUUUUGAAACUCAGAAAAAUAGUAAAGAUAGGAGGGAGGGGGACUUCAGGGCUGCGAAUAUUGUGCAGCUAUACCUCAAGUCUCCGUCACAAACUAGACCCGGGCAAAUCUAUUGAACGCCGCUAGGACCUACUCCGAAAUCUGCAAAAGUAGUGCAAAGUGUAGUAUGAAUACAACCGACCCCAUGUACUCUGUAAGUGCCGAGCCUAACCUCAACGAGGUAGUGAUGAGGCUAAGGCGGGCCACUUACAAUAACUUGUACGCAGUAUAAUACUAAUAGCAAGGAAAGAAAACAAAAAAUAAAAGUAAGGCAGUUAAAUUAUGAAAAAGAACUCAAUCCUCAUAGUUGGCGAACCCAGAAUAACCAAUCACAUAAUUUAAUGUAAAAAUGCUGAAAACCAACACAAUAACAACGACAUCAAUAUACACAAUCCGUUGUGGCGCGUAACCUGAUCUAACCGUACACACUUAAUCCUCCCUUAUUUCACCAUAACAUCAUUUAUCAAUAUUAAGAGUCAUAUACAAUCUGUUGCGCCGCGCAACCAGAUCCCAUUAUAUCAUCAUAAUCAAUGUCAUAAUCCUCCCUUAUUUCACAUGUCAUAAUUUAUCAAUAUCAAGUAUUACGUAUACAAUCGUUGCGGUGCACAACCCGAUCCUACCAUAAUAUUACAAUCAAUAUCAAAAUCCUCCCUUAUUCCACCAUAUCAUAACUGUUGCGGCAUACAACCAGAUCCAUAAAUAAUUUUAAUAAAUGUAAUCAAUCCAAUAGCUCAAUUUACAAGAAUCUCUAUGAUUAAGAAAUAUGAAAGCAAAGCAAUAAAGGGACCAUGUAUUAAUCAAAGGAAUGCUACAAAUAAUACAAUAGCAACAAGACACGUCAAGUACGUGACAAUUAAAGUGUGCAAGUAAGACAAUUAAGGCAAAUAUCAAUUAAUCAUAGAGUCAUAAAAGGAACGAACAAUUUAAUAAAAGAAUAAUUAAUGACAAGUAAUAAAUUACAACAUAGAAAGCAAUUAAAGUAUGUAACAGUUAAGGCAUGGAGUGAGAUACCUCAUGAAAUACGAGAAAGACAUGGAAACAAUCAUUUUGACAAGUAUAUACACUCGUCACCUCGCAUAUACACUAUUUCACAUGUAAUUCAUAUAACAUAUAGUUCAGAGUUUCCUAAUUUCCUUAUAUCAAGGUUAGACCCGACACUUACCUCGCUCCGCAAUCAAAUCAAAGCUCAACUGGGGUCUUUUCUCUAAAAUUCUCCUCCAAACUAAUAGAAUCUAACCAAAAUUAACUCAAUAUCAUCAAACAAUGCUAGUGAAAUCAAUUACAAUAUAUAAAGCAAAGAUCUUUACAUUUUCCCCAAAAAGUUAACCCCGGGCUUGCUUGGUCAAAACCCGAGAUUCGGACCAAAACCUAAUUACACAUUCACCCCCGAUCCCGAUUAUGUGAUUAUUUUUGAAAUCUGACCUCAAUUUGAGGUCUAAAUCUCAAUUGUUACAAAGUCCCCAAUUCUACCCAAAGCCCUAAUUUCUGCCAUAAAAGAGCAUAGAUUAAAGGUUAGAAAUCAAUGGGUGUUAAUGGAAUUGGAAGAAAACGAGUUAAAAUGAUGAAAAUCCCAACUUUGGGAUAGUUAAAAUCACUGGCGUCAGGUAUUCAUCGUGUUCGUGAAGAACCUGACACGAUCGCGAAGCACUGUUAUCACGACCCAAAAUCCCACCACAAGCGUCGUGAUGACACUUAGUCUCUACGACUAGGUAAACCGAUUAUAAUUACACUUCUAGCCAUUUUUCUUAAACAUAUAAUUUAAUACAAGUGUCAAAACCAAAAGCGGAAACAAUUAUAACAACCUCCCAAGAUUGAUAAUACUGAGUCACGAACUGUAACUGAAUACAUCCCGAGGAUCAAAUAUACAAUACUGUUCGAAUAAGGGUUGACAGCAAAAUAAAAUGGAAAGACUACAAGGGACUGUGACGACCAAGCAGCUCUACCUUGAAUCCUUGCGAUCACACUCUAGUCUCUGUCCGAAUACGAUAUCUCCAAUACCUGGCUCUGCACAUAGUAUGAGUACACCACAGUCGGUACCCAAUAAGUAUCAAGACUAAUCUCGGUGGAGUAGUGACAAGAUAUAGUCAAGACACUCACUAGUCAAAUAACCUGUGCAAUAUAGCAGUAUACAUUAGCACUGGAAAUCAACUAGCAAUGAUAGCAACAAAAAUGAAGCAGUGAUAUAAACAACAAGGAAACAAGAGCACUAUAAUUAUUUCUCAAACAAAUAAGGAACACAAGUACAACCAAUUAAUCAGGACCUUCAAAUAUAAACCUUUCACAUAUAAUUCUUAAUAUAAAUAUCUUUCAAAUAACCAUCUUUCGAAUAUACUUCUUUAAAAUAACCAUAUUUCGAAUAUAAUUCCUUCAAAUAAAAGUCACUAUGUGACUCCUUAUUUCAUAAUCAUAAAACACGGGUCGCAACCCACUUUUAUAUUUUUGUAAUACGGGUCUCAACCCACUUUUAUAUUUUCACGGCACCUCAUGCUCAUAUUUCUAUCAAAACCGUACGGACAACUCAUGUGCCAAUAAUAAAAAUUAUCAUAUUUUCCCCGGCACCUCGUGCCCACAUUUCAUAUCUGUUGCGGCGUGCAACCCGAUCCCAUAUAACAUUAAUCAUACCUGUCGCGGCGUGCAACCCGAUCCCAUAUAACAUAAUCCGCUCGGCGAUAGCCACAUGCUCACAAUUUCAACAUAGAUCAUACUAUCAUCAAGUUUACCGAAACAACAAGACAAGUUGCACAAGAUAAAAAUAAACACAAGGAAAAUCACAGCAUCACAUGAAAAUUACCAACGCAAUAACCCCACAUCAUCACAUAAAAAUUACCAACACAAUAACCCCACAUCAUCACAUAUCAUCCCUGAUGCUGGCCACCAAUAUCACUCCUAUAGCCACCCUUAUCACUCCUAUAAUAACCUUCAUUAUCCCUCCGCCCUGACAAUAUCAAUAGUCACCCACCCUUAUCACUCCUAUAGCCACCCUUAUCACUCCUAUAAUAGCAUCCAUUAUCACUCUUCCUAGACAAUAUCCCAACAUACAUAACAACAGUGAAAUGCCACCCUUAUGCCCGCAUAAUGUCAACAAUCAAAUUCCACCCUUACACGACACAUAACAGUAACUCAAAUCACACAACAAUUCACAUAGAAUAUUAUCACAAUAGCACAACAUCAUCAACUCGUAUUUACAAAUUGCCCGUAGGCCACAACCUUUCCAAAGGUACAACAAAGUCAAUUAAUUUCACAACAGAUAGUCCAUAGCCCAACACAAUGUAUAUAAAAUCUCAAAAAUAACAAGAAGAAUGGGAAAAUAAACUCAGCAUAGGACAACACCUUCUUUAAUCCAAAUUUCUGAUAAAUAUACAAAUGCCUCGUUUUAAACUUAUUUAAUUACUUAUUUUCAGGAAAUGUCAACUCAACAAAUACACGAGACUCACAUAAAAAUCAAAGUGGCAAUCACACCAAAUUAUUAUAUAAAAACAAAUUUGACAAACAAGGGUUUGAGGUAUGGCAAAUAGAGGAUUUAAUAAAUGCCAACAUUUAUCCAAUUUAAUACAUAAAAAUGCCUAAGACUUUAAACCAAUAAAAUUUGCAAAUAUAAGCCCGAAUGCGUACUCGUCACCUCGCGUACACGGCUUUCAAUCACACAAUUUCCACAUAAGACUCAAUGCCUAAGGGGUAAUCCCCCACUCAAGGUUAGGCAAGAUACUUACCUCGACGAAACUAAACCGAUACUUUAAAUGAUCUUCGAAAGUGAAGCCACCUCCGGACAUAUCAAAUCUGAAAUUCGCCCCUUCAUAAUACUAGGAUGGUCCACCACACUAAAGAAAUUUCAAUCUACAACAAUGCAACACAAUUGCACCAAUAUUAGCAAGAUUUCUAUAAUUUAAUUCAUUUAGAUAUUUUAUCAAACAUCUAAUGUGCAUAUUUUUCUAUAACUUCCUUCAAUGGAAUUUUUUCACCUAACAACCACCUUCCACACAAAUGAUUCACCUCACAAUUGUCUCUAGGACAUGCAAAACUUCCCUUAGAUAUGCAUGCCCAACAAUUCACCCACAGCCCAUAAAUCUUCUCAAUUAAUUCAUUUUACAAACUCUACAAUACCAACACACCUAGGUUGGGCACUCAUUGAUUCCAAUCACCAUCCCAUAAGUCCUAACACAUAUUUCGUACAUAAAUAAUCACCAUGAAUUAGUUAGAUAUAGUAGACAUACCUCUUGCAGACCAAAUCUUGAAAGAUAACUUUUGGGGUGUUCUUGAGAUUUUUGAAGAAUUCCUAUAGAAUCCAAUCAAAACCUUGUUGUAACUAGUGAUUGAAAAGUAAAAUCAUCAUAAAAACACACUUAAAAACUACCUUAGGUAUGUAUUGGAAGACUUGACCGGAUGUGUGAUGGAGAGAAAGCCCUGGUCUUGAAGAAAUGACUUAUCCACUCUCUCUCCCCAGCCUCGGGGGUAUUUAUAGGGCUCCUACGUGCGCGGUCGCACACCUCGGCAAGUGACCGCGUAUCUGGCCGCGCACACGAGAUAGAAUACCCCCUUAUCUGUGCGGCCGCGCAUCUAGGCGGGCAUAUGGCAGAGGUCUGGUAAAAUGGGCAUAACUUUCUAUAUACAUAUCCAAAUGACAAACGGUUUAAUACGUUGGAAACUAGACUCAAAGGUAUUUAAUAUGAUAGGUAUAUCACCACUUAAAUCUUUAUAUUUUGGUAGUUGCAUGCGUUUGAAGUCCUACCUUGUGCAAAUUUAUUUAAAACUUUAGCCCAUUGCAUAGAUCUCAACUUGUCUUAGUUCUAGGGAUCUCCUUAGACCCUAACAACAUCCAAUACAACUCCUACAUUUUAUAUCAUGAUCAUCUAAGUUGUUCCAAUCCUUAACCUCUUGUGGAAAGGCAAGACGACACUUAAGCGAAUUGUGAGCGUGCUUAUGGCAUCAAACUAAUAGGAAAUUCGAGGGGCCUCACAUCCUCCAACAUCACAAGAAUCACGAAUCGUGCAUCGAUUCAAGCCUAAGAAACUUAUGAACUUCCGAAUUUCAAAACUAAUGCUGAUUCAUAACAAACCAACUCCGAUUGAUUUUAAAUUUUGCACACAAGUCAUAAAUGACACCACAUACCUAUUCCAAUUUACUGAACUAAAAUUCUAACCCGAAGUCGAUUGCUUAAAAGUCAAACUUCGGUCAACUCUUUUCAUUUAAGCUUCAAAAAAUAAGAAUUGUUCUUUCGAUUUAAUUCCGAACCUUCUCAAAACCAAACUCGACCUUGUACGCAAGUCAUAGCACAUAUUACAAAGUUGCUCGAGAUCUUAAGUCGUUGAACGAGACGUAAAUUCUCAGAACAACAAGUUGGGUCAAUACAUUCUCCCCUCUUAAACAUACGUUCCUCCUCGAACGUGCCAAGAAUCUUUCUGAGGAUAUUAAAUUACUGAGUGUAUUCUUACAUGCAUACUCGCUGGUGAUUCUUCUUCGCCGCAAACUAACAUGUGUCCGACAACACCAUCUCAAUUGAGAUUAUUUCUCAUAUUUGCACUUAUAAGCCUUAAAAUCAAAUUUCUUACACUUCAAUCAUUUUAAAAAAGACCUGAUUUUUCACAUCGACAUACCGUAUUAGACUCAACUGGCUGUAGCAACUCGUGCCAACACUUGAACGACACAUUCACAUAGCAUGAUACAUCAUACAUAGGCCCAUAAUAAUAACUCUGGUCACAAUGGCUGCCCAUAAUCAAUUUCAGCACCAACAAUUAAAUUUCAUCUCAGUUCAAGCCUAGUUUCAAACCUUCACACCACAGACAACGAUUUGAGGAACAUGAAAACUUCGUAAUUAUUCACCCGAAUUAAUGAGUCAUAUUUAACGUCAUCUGGGCACAUACCUUGUAGGCUAAAAUACAAUAAUCACAACACAACUAUGACUAACAUGCGCAGAUAAACACACGAUUGAAUUAUCAAACAAGCCCAUCAGGCAUAACUCCCUAUCUGUACUAUAAUGCUAAAAUUUACACGAGGGAAAAUUUAAAGCAUAUGAAUUUAACCUGAUACAAAUAGGUCAUUAAGCUACUGUUGUGGUUCGGUUUUCGGUUUCGGUUCAGUUUUGAACACCCCUAAUUGCGGCCCAAUUGGCCUUUGUGUUCGCGAGAUGCUAUUCGUUUUCCCGAUGGAUCUCCCCCCUGGCCAUCACAUUCGUGACCCUUUGAUCGUGUUCGCAAAGAAUACCCAGCUGCUCCCCUCCCAGACCCCUCACUCAUCGCUUUCGCGAGUGAAGAGCCGCAUUCGCAGAGGGUUACCUCCCCCCAUGCUCCGUGUUCGCGAAGAAAAAAUCCUCCUCAGUCCCUAGUUACCCUUCGCGAUCGCAAGAGUAGCUUCACGAUCGCGAAGAAAGAUACACCAGAUAUCAACAGUUGUGAAAAACCAGUAAUCCUUCAAGUUCGAAAUGGUUCAUAGCCUAUCCAAAACUCACCUGAGCCUCUCGGGCUCCAAACCAAACAUGCACACAAGUGUAAUAACAUCAUACGAACUAUCUCUCGUGAUAAAAAUACCAAAAUAACACCUAGAACCGCGACAUAAAAAAUAUAUUAAAUUUUCAAUGAAACUUAAGAGCUUUCAAGUUUACAACCGGAUGCCCAAGUUACGUCAAAUCAACUCCGUUUUGUAUCAAACUUUACAGACAAGUCAUAAAUAGUGAAAUAAAUCUAUACCAAGUUCCGAAACCAAAAUCCGAACCUGGUAGAAACAAAGUCAACCUACUGUCAAACUUAAGAAUUAUUUAAACCUUCAAAUUACUAAUUUUGAAUAAUUCACGUUAAAUCAAGUUAGGGACUUCAGAAUUUGAUUCUGGGCAUACACCCAAGUCCCAAAUCACGAUACGAACCCACUGGGACCGUCAAAUACUGAGUCGGGUUCGUUUACAUAAAAUGUUGACCGUAGUUAACUCAAAUUAUUUUUAAGGCUAAAUUUCAUAUUUUUCAAUUUUUACAUAAAUUCUUUUUGAAAAAGACACAGUCUGCACACGUAAAUCGAGAAAGGCCAAAUGGAGCUAUUCGAGGUCUCGAAAUACCGAAAUAAUGGCUAAAAUGCAAAAUGACCUAUUAGGUCGCUUGACUUUACAUAGUCAAUUAUGAUAAUAUCCCUAAAGAGUAGUUGCCUAGCUGUUUUAUGUCAUCGUCGUAUAUGACAAGAUUUUUCAUUAUAGAUAAUGCUCCCGGCCCUUCCUAUUGCCGCUUGACCAUCGUAAUGUAUGCAUAUAGGUGCCAAUAUUCUUCUUCACCGGCCUUUUCUAAGGCUAUAAACUCAGCCUCCAUUGUAGAGCGACAAUGCACGUUUGUUUGGACGAUUUUCAAGAAGUUGCUCCUCCACAAAUUGUAAAAAUAUAUCCACUUGUGAAUUUAGUUAGGUUGAUCCGGUGAUCCAAUUUGCGUCACUAUACCCCUCAAUAACCGCAUGAUACUUAUUAUAGUGCAAUGCAUAGUCAUGGAUAUAUUUCAAAUAUCUCAAACUCAUUUUAUUGUCAUGAUAAUUCAAUGCAAACUUCCUUAUAUCGUAGACUUAUACGUCUCGACUUUCUAUUGCAUAUCAUAUUAUUGACUACACUUAAUGUAGCAAUACUUAUAAGAACAGUUGGAAUAAUUGGCAUCAGUUGUGGCCAUAACCUUUUAAUAUAUAACACAUUUUGCAACCAUUCCGCCAUUUCAAGCAUUUGUAUGCUAAUUAUUCAUACGUCUAUAUGAUAUGCAAAUUAUAGCGCAUUCAUUCAUGAAAUAAAUCUAACUUGCAAUGGAUUUUGGUCUUGUUCAUCGGUUGAUUCACCUCAUUAUAGACCAACCCAUUAAUACAUUUGUUCAUUAACGGUCAUAUUUAUACAAAACAUACAAAUGCACUUUUCAUGAAAAGUCACAUCCUUCCAAGUGACACCCUUUCAUAAAAGAACUAAACAUUAUAAAUGUUUAAGAAAAACAAAUCAUUUCUGGAAAGACACGCAAACAACUUUCGAAUUUGUAGUUUCAUCACUAGUCAUCACUAAGACUGAACAAAUAAUGAAUUCACCGACUAUCAUAUCAAUAUCCACUAAGAAUUUGUGGGGUUCAAAAAUUAUAUCAUUUAUACAUUAUAUUUAACAUUGGCUUUUGUCGUGCAUAAGCUAAAUGCCCCUAUAUUUUAAAUAGUUCAUCAAUAUAUUAUCCACAUAUAAUCAAGUAAUGACUAUAUGAUUUGAAGUAUUGUUAAUAUAAACACAUUUGCUUACACUCAUUAAUUUUAAAAUUAUUUGACAAUAUUAUAUGGUCAUCUCGCAUGUCAUUGUUUUGGUGCUUGUUUUAGUCUUUAUAGUGACUUAACAAGUCGGCACACUUUUUUUCCUCCAGGAACCACGAACCCUUCAGGUUGUUCCACGUAAAUUUCUUCCUCUAAAUCUCAAUUUAAGAAGGUUGUCUUCACAUCCAUUUGAUAGAUUUCAAGAUCAUAUAUUGUAGCCAAUGCUAAUAACACCCAUAUGUACGUAAUACUCGUAACCGACGAGUAUGUGUUAAAAUAGUCAAGGCCUUUCCGUUGUCAAUAUCCGUUGACAAUAAUUCUUGCCUUAUACAUGUCAAUAAUGCACUCAUCUUUUAUUUUCAUCUUGAAAAUCCAUUUGGAACCUAAUGGUUCGUUCCCUAGAGUAAGAUCAAAUAACUCCCAAGUAUGGUUAUUUAAUAUGGAUUCUAUCUCACUAUUGACUGAUUCUUUUCGAGGAAGACAUAACUUCUUUCAAAGUUUGAAGCUCAUUUUCCCACAAGAAUGUCAAAAAAAUCUAAUCCAAUGGAUGUAGUUAUCCUUUGACGUUUACUAGGUCUUAGAUUCACCUCAUUAGGUGUACUUUCCUUCGCUUCUUUUCGAGGCCACUUAGAUAUUUCACUAGACGACCCACAUUCCUUUUUAUACCGAUAAAUAUUCUCAAAGAAUUCAAUAUUAUCUGAUUUAAUUACCGUAUUAAUAUGAAUGUAAGGAUUUUCUGAUUUAUGAACUAGAAAAUGAUAUGCCUUACUAUUUAUAGCAUAUCCUAUGAAAACGCAAUCAAUAAUUUUCGGUUUGAUCUUUACCCUUUUGGGUGAGGAACUUGCACUUUAGCUAAGCACCCCCACACUUUAAAAUAUUUAAGUUCGGCUUCCNNNNNNNNNNNNNNNNNNNNNNNNNNNNNNNNNNNNNNNNNNNNNNNNNNNNNNNNNNNNNNNNNNNNNNNNNNNNNNNNNNNNNNNNNNNNNNNNNNNNNNNNNNNNNNNNNNNNNNNNNNNNNNNNNNNNNNNNNNNNNNNNNNNNNNNNNNNNNNNNNNNNNNNNNNNNNNNNNNNNNNNNNNNNNNNNNNNNNNNNNNNNNNNNNNNNNNNNNNNNNNNNNNNNNNNNNNNNNNNNNNNNNNNNNNNNNNNNNNNNNNNNNNNNNNNNNNNNNNNNNNNNNNNNNNNNNNNNNNNNNNNNNNNNNNNNNNNNNNNNNNNNNNNNNNNNNNNNNNNNNNNNNNNNNNNNNNNNNNNNNNNNNNNNNNNNNNNNNNNNNNNNNNNNNNNNNNNNNNNNNNNNNNNNNNNNNNNNNNNNNNNNNNNNNNNNNNNNNNNNNNNNNNNNNNNNNNNNNNNNNNNNNNNNNNNNNNNNNNNNNNNNNNNNNNNNNNNNNNNNNNNNNNNNNNNNNNNNNNNNNNNNNNNNNNNNNNNNNNNNNNNNNNNNNNNNNNNNNNNNNNNNNNNNNNNNNNNNNNNNNNNNNNNNNNNNNNNNNNNNNNNNNNNNNNNNNNNNNNNNNNNNNNNNNNNNNNNNNNNNNNNNNNNNNNNNNNNNNNNNNNNNNNNNNNNNNNNNNNNNNNNNNNNNNNNNNNNNNNNNNNNNNNNNNNNNNNNNNNNNNNNNNNNNNNNNNNNNNNNNNNNNNNNNNNNNNNNNNNNNNNNNNNNNNNNNNNNNNNNNNNNNNNNNNNNNNNNNNNNNNNNNNNNNNNNNNNNNNNNNNNNNNNNNNNNNNNNNNNNNNNNNNNNNNNNNNNNNNNNNNNNNNNNNNNNNNNNNNNNNNNNNNNNNNNNNNNNNNNNNNNNNNNNNNNNNNNNNNNNNNNNNNNNNNNNNNNNNNNNNNNNNNNNNNNNNNNNNNNNNNNNNNNNNNNNNNNNNNNNNNNNNNNNNNNNNNNNNNNNNNNNNNNNNNNNNNNNNNNNNNNNNNNNNNNNNNNNNNNNNNNNNNNNNNNNNNNNNNNNNNNNNNNNNNNNNNNNNNNNNNNNNNNNNNNNNNNNNNNNNNNNNNNNNNNNNNNNNNNNNNNNNNNNNNNNNNNNNNNNNNNNNNNNNNNNNNNNNNNNNNNNNNNNNNNNNNNNNNNNNNNNNNNNNNNNNNNNNNNNNNNNNNNNNNNNNNNNNNNNNNNNNNNNNNNNNNNNNNNNNNNNNNNNNNNNNNNNNNNNNNNNNNNNNNNNNNNNNNNNNNNNNNNNNNNNNNNNNNNNNNNNNNNNNNNNNNNNNNNNNNNNNNNNNNNNNNUUCCAUUCAAUUUUUCAUAUAGAAUAGAUUGCGUCUUGCUACGGGGAAAUCGACUGAGUAUUCGAUUAUCUAUAAGAAUGACUUUCCCCCUACAAGUUCUAGGGUAAAUCAGAACUUAUCAACAAGGUAUUCAUCAUCUCGUUUAACGUUUUAUUUUUUCUUUAUGCAAUUUCAUUGGAUUUCGGUGACUGAGGGGGUGUCGUUUGAUAAAUAAUACCAUAUUCCAAACAUAUUUCUUCAAAAGGUAAUUCACAUUCACCGCCACUACUACUUUGUAGAGUCAACCACAUGAAUUGUUGUUUGUAUCACGACAAAGCCAUAAUUAAUAAACGGUAAAGUUUUUAAUCUUCAAACCGAAUAAUAUCUGACCCAGUUAGAUUUAGAAAAUGGUGAAGUUUUUAAUUUUCAAACCGUGUAAUAUAUGAUACAACCAAAUUUAAUAAACGGUGAAUAUUAUUUUUUAAUCUUCAAAUCGAGUAAUAAUUUGAAGUAGAAAAUCACUAAGAUUUUAAUUUCCAAAAUGAGUAGAAAGUCACUAAGACAUUAAUCUCAAUGAAUGCGCAGAAAAUCACGCAGAUUUUAAUCUCUAAACAAGAGUAAAAAAUCACGAAGAUUUUAGUCUCCUAAACCAGAGGUAUAAAAUCACAAAAAUUUAAUCUUCCUUUCUAACUAAACCAUUGUAAUCCAUACACACUUUAACAGUUUGACAUAUUUAUCUUAUCAAACUAACAUAUGUAUAGCACAUAAACAACUACUAAAUUAAAAGCAAUUAAUAUAAUUUUCUGCAGAAAAAUUUAGACUGCCGCAAAUAUAUACUCUCACAUAUAUAAACCAUGGUGAGAAUAAAGUUAACAAAGAAAACUUUAUACGAAUUUUUAAUUUCAGUUUUUCUUUUGUAACAGAUAUAAAAAAGAAAACUAUUCUAAGCAUAAUUUUUGUAACAUAUAGAAAUCUGCGGAUAUUUGUAAAUAAAGAAUUUAUGACAAUACGAUUUCCCAAAACCUUUUAUCCAAAUGUUACAACUUUUCGAACCGUAAACGUUUGAUCCCUUUAGAAGGUUGUCCCGAAUACUUUAGCAUUCAUACAAAUGUGGGUUUUCUAUCUAUAUUCCAGUGUUGGAUAACCAAAGCCACAUUAAUAUUAUAAUUCUGGUUCAACUUUGGACCAAGAAUCUAUAAUUAAAUUCUUAUGUGAAUUGUAUUAUAAAGCGCAAGAUCCCACAUUUGUACUUUAAUGUGUCGAUGUCUUUUGUGAGAAGACUUCUCUCCACCACAUGACAAAGUUCCCAUGAAAUAUCAAAAGAGUCCUAUUUAUAUAAGGACAUAAUUACUUUUGGAAUAUCAUUCCUUCAAUGCCACUUAUCAGUGCAACCACAUUUUCCCCCUUUUUUCUUAAUCAGUUGAUCACAUGAUUUUUAAUCAAACUGAGACAAAGAAAUCAAGCAACAAAAUAAUGACUAAAGGCAACAUGCCAUCGUCUUUUCUGGAUUUGCCGAUUGUGAUAUGACUUUCGUCAAAAGACCAUCAGUAACGUAGCCUCGAUUACCAGUGAUGCACUAAGUGUCUUUCGAAGAUUAAACAUUCUUAUCUUCUUCCUAUCACAUUAAAUUCCUUAAGAUCGUUAGUAAUCUGUGAUCAAAACUAAAAAAUCAGAGAAGUAAAGAAAUGUUAGUUCAAUAAAAUAAAACAUAAAAUAAUUUCUGAGCCCACAAGUUGCUUGUGUGUCCUUAAGGAAUUUAAUCCCCUCAUUGUUGCCCAAGGUUAUGGAUGACUUCCUCCUAGAAUAGAACGGAAAAANNNNNNNNNNNNNNNNNNNNNNNNNUUAUUCUGUAAUACUGACAAUCAAAAUUGUAGGGAAAUAGCACCGGGAAAAUAACAAUAAUAAUGCAAUAAUACUUGUUAGCAAAUAUAGAUACACGGAUUGACUUGAGUCGUAUUGGGCACUAUCCUAAGAAACUAUUUUAGCAAUGUAAAAUAUUUUCUCAGGAUUAAACAAGCCUACCUCUAUUUACUUAGAGGAUACAAGAAUCAGAAAAAUUAAAUGAUAAAUCCAGCAGGUUCAGAAAAUUGGAGAGAGUAACUAAUAAUAAUAGGUAAUGAUUGUAGGAAGGAAGUCAUGACUAACAAGAUGAAUUCUCGGUUGAGAAUUGAGUAAGAAUGAUAGGUAAUCCACAACCUAUUUAUAGGCAAUUAGAGAGGUUGCAUGUAUGACAAGUGUGGAAAGUCUUUUAACACUUUUCCAAAUAUAUUAGUCCAAUUGGCUUCAACAUUAACAAGUGUACCUAGUCUUCCAUGCAUGAAGACAUAUGGUAGAUUUGCAUAGCCACUUGUCAAAGCCCUUCAACGCAUAUUCUCACUAGACGACUUAGAUAUUUCACUAGACGAGGCCACUUAGAUAUUUCACUAGACGACCCACAUUCCUUUUUAUACCGAUAAAUAUUCUCAAAGAAUUCAAUAUUAUCUGAUUUAAUUACCGUAUUAAUAUGAAUGUAAGGAUUUUCUGAUUUAUGAACUAGAAAAUGAUAUGCCUUACUAUUUGUAGCAUAUCCUAUGAAAACGCAAUCAAUAAUUUUCGGUUUGAUCUUUACCCUUUUGGGUGAGGAACUUGCACUUUAGCUAAGCACCCCCACACUUUAAAAUAUUUAAGUUCGGCUUUCNNNNNNNNNNNNNNNNNNNNNNNNNNNNNNNNNNNNNNNNNNNNNNNNNNNNNNNNNNNNNNNNNNNNNNNNNNNNNNNNNNNNNNNNNNNNNNNNNNNNNNNNNNNNNNNNNNNNNNNNNNNNNNNNNNNNNNNNNNNNNNNNNNNNNNNNNNNNNNNNNNNNNNNNNNNNNNNNNNNNNNNNNNNNNNNNNNNNNNNNNNNNNNNNNNNNNNNNNNNNNNNNNNNNNNNNNNNNNNNNNNNNNNNNNNNNNNNNNNNNNNNNNNNNNNNNNNNNNNNNNNNNNNNNNNNNNNNNNNNNNNNNNNNNNNNNNNNNNNNNNNNNNNNNNNNNNNNNNNNNNNNNNNNNNNNNNNNNNNNNNNNNNNNNNNNNNNNNNNNNNNNNNNNNNNNNNNNNNNNNNNNNNNNNNNNNNNNNNNNNNNNNNNNNNNNNNNNNNNNNNNNNNNNNNNNNNNNNNNNNNNNNNNNNNNNNNNNNNNNNNNNNNNNNNNNNNNNNNNNNNNNNNNNNNNNNNNNNNNNNNNNNNNNNNNNNNNNNNNNNNNNNNNNNNNNNNNNNNNNNNNNNNNNNNNNNNNNNNNNNNNNNNNNNNNNNNNNNNNNNNNNNNNNNNNNNNNNNNNNNNNNNNNNNNNNNNNNNNNNNNNNNNNNNNNNNNNNNNNNNNNNNNNNNNNNNNNNNNNNNNNNNNNNNNNNNNNNNNNNNNNNNNNNNNNNNNNNNNNNNNNNNNNNNNNNNNNNNNNNNNNNNNNNNNNNNNNNNNNNNNNNNNNNNNNNNNNNNNNNNNNNNNNNNNNNNNNNNNNNNNNNNNNNNNNNNNNNNNNNNNNNNNNNNNNNNNNNNNNNNNNNNNNNNNNNNNNNNNNNNNNNNNNNNNNNNNNNNNNNNNNNNNNNNNNNNNNNNNNNNNNNNNNNNNNNNNNNNNNNNNNNNNNNNNNNNNNNNNNNNNNNNNNNNNNNNNNNNNNNNNNNNNNNNNNNNNNNNNNNNNNNNNNNNNNNNNNNNNNNNNNNNNNNNNNNNNNNNNNNNNNNNNNNNNNNNNNNNNNNNNNNNNNNNNNNNNNNNNNNNNNNNNNNNNNNNNNNNNNNNNNNNNNNNNNNNNNNNNNNNNNNNNNNNNNNNNNNNNNNNNNNNNNNNNNNNNNNNNNNNNNNNNNNNNNNNNNNNNNNNNNNNNNNNNNNNNNNNNNNNNNNNNNNNNNNNNNNNNNNNNNNNNNNNNNNNNNNNNNNNNNNNNNNNNNNNNNNNNNNNNNNNNNNNNNNNNNNNNNNNNNNNNNNNNNNNNNNNNNNNNNNNNNNNNNNNNNNNNNNNNNNNNNNNNNNNNNNNNNNNNNNNNNNNNNNNNNNNNNNNNNNNNNNNNNNNNNNNNNNNNNNNNNNNNNNNNNNNNNNNNNNNNNNNNNNNNNNNNNNNNNNNNNNNNNNNNNNNNNNNNNNNNNNNNNNNNNNNNNNNNNNNNNNNNNNNNNNNNNNNNNNNNNNNNNNNNNNNNNNNNNNNNNNNNNNNNNNNNNNNNNNNNNNNNNNNNNNNNNNNNNNNNNNNNNNNNNNNNNNNNNNNNNNNNNNNNNNNNNNNNNNNNNNNNNNNNNNNNNNNNNNNNNNNNNNNNNNNNNNNNNNNNNNNNNNNNNNNNNNNNNNNNNNNNNNNNNNNNNNNNNNNNNNNNNNNNNNNNNNNNNNNNNNNNNNNNNNNNNNNNNNNNNNNNNNNNNNNNNNNNNNNNNNNNNNNNNNNNNNNNNNNNNNNNNNNNNNNNNNNNNNNNNNNNNNNNNNNNNNNNNNNNNNNNNNNNNNNNNNNNNNNNNNNNNNNNNNNNNNNNNNNNNNNNNNNNNNNNNNNNNNNNNNNNNNNNNNNNNNNNNNNNNNNNNNNNNNNNNNNNNNNNNNNNNNNNNNNNNNNNNNNNNNNNNNNNNNNNNNNNNNNNNNNNNNNNNNNNNNNNNNNNNNNNNNNNNNNNNNNNNNNNNNNNNNNNNNNNNNNNNNNNNNNNNNNNNNNNNNNNNNNAAACUAUUCUGUAAUACUGACAAUCAAAAUUGUAGGGAAAUAGCACCGGGAAAAUAACAAUAAUAAUGCAAUAAUACUUGUUAGCAAAUAUAGAUACACGGAUUGACUUGAGUCGUAUUGGGCACUAUCCUAAGAAACUAUUUUAGCAAUGUAAAAUAUUUUCUCAGGAUUAAACAAGCCUACCUCUAUUUACUUAGAGGAUACAAGAAUCAGAAAAAUUAAAUGAUAAAUCCAGCAGGUUCAGAAAAUUGGAGAGAGUAACUAAUAAUAAUAGGUAAUGAUUGUAGGAAGGAAGUCAUGACUAACAAGAUGAAUUCUCGGUUGAGAAUUGAGUAAGAAUGAUGGGUAAUCCACAACCUAUUUAUAGGCAAUUAGAGAGGUUGCAUGUAUGACAAGUGUGGAAAGUCUUUUAACACUUGUCCAAAUAUAUUAGUCCAAUUGGCUUCAACAUUAACAAGUGUACCUAGUCUUCCAUGCAUGAAGACAUAUGGUAGAUUUGCAUAGCCUCUUGUCAAAGCCCUUCAACGCUUAGUUUUAAGGCUUCAUGCAAGAAGUCAUUUGGAAAUAGAUAAGACACUUGUUGUAAUGACCCGACUGGUCGUUUUGAGAUCCAGCGCGUCGUUCGGCGAUUUAAGGCCUUGAGUAGUUUCACUUCAGGUAUUAUGACUUGUACGCGUAGUCGGAAUUGAGAUUCAGGGAGUUCAGAGUUGAUUUGGAAAGAAAAUUCUAAUUUCGAAAGCCUUAAGUUGGAAGAAUCGACUAAUGUGUGAUUUUUGAGUAAAUGACCUUGGAAUCGAGAUUUGAAGGUUCGUUCGUAUGAUGAUUUUAGACUUGAGCAUAUGUUCGGAUCGGGUUUUGGAUGACCUGGGAGCGUUUCGGCGCCUAUUAUGGAAGUUGGCAUUUUGGAAGAAUUUCAUUAAUUUGAGUUGAAGUGCAUUUCAAUACUAUCGAUGUCCGUUUGGGAUUAUGAGUCUGGGAAUAGGUCCAUAUGGUAAUUUUGGUAUUGGGAACGCGUCCGAAAAUGGAUUCGGAGGUCCGUAGGUCAUUUUGGAGUCAUUUGGCUAAAGCUAGAAAUUUGAAGGUUUUGAGAAGUUUGACCGGAAGUGGACUUUUUGAUAUCGGGGUCGGAAUUCGAUUCCGGAAGUUGGAGUAGGUAUGUAAUGUCAAUUAUGACUUGUGUGCAAAUUUUGAGGACAAUCGGACGUGAUUUGGUAGGUUUCAGCAUCGAUUGUAGAAGUUGAAAUUUCAAAGUUCAUUAAGUUUGAAUUGGGGUGCGAUUCUUGAUUUCGAUAUUGUUUGAUAUAAUUUGAAGGCUCGACUAAGUUCGUAAUAUGUUUUGGGACUUGUUGGUAUAAUUGGUUGAGGUCCCGGAGGCCUCGGGUGAUUUUGGGUGGUUAACGGAUCAAAUUUGAAUUUGAAGAAGAGCUGAAGCAGCUGGGUAUCUGGUGUAGCCGCACCUGUGUGAAGAGGGACGCAGGUGCGAGCCCACAGGUGCGGGAGAUGGCUCGCAGAAGCAGAAGGAGCCAAGGCUGUUGAGAACCGUAGAAGCGGAAGGAAUUUGCGCACCUGCGAUGGCGCAUGUGCGAUGUCAGUAGCCGCAAAAGCGGCAAGGGCCGCAGAUACAGAUGGAGUUCCGCAGAAGCGGCCUAAGAGCCGCAGGUGCGAAAAUGUCGCUGGACAAAGGGGUUUCUUUAAAAUGGGACUUGGCCCAUUCUUCUCCCAUUUUCAUUUGGUCUGGGCGAUUUUGAAGAGCUUCAAGGGGAGAUUUUCAGCAAGCAGCUCAAGGUAAGUGAUCCCCACUUAUUAUAAGUUAAAUACAUAGUUUGUAUAAAAAUUUAAACAUGGAGAUUUGUAGAAAUUGUGAGAGUUGUUGGUAGAAAACCUAGAAUUUGGUAUUUUAGAUUUUGACCACGAAUUUGGGCAUGGAAUUGGGAAUAAAUCAUACAUUUGAGUUCAUAAGGUUAUGGGUAAUGAUUAUCUUCAAAAAUUUUCGGAAUCCGGGCACGUGGGCCCGAGGGUAAUUUUUUUUUACUUUUCGAACGGAGUUGUGAAUUGUAGUAAAUUGAAUUGUUAUGAGCAUUAGAGUAUAUUUUUAUUGGUUUAUGCAUUGUUUGGUUAGUUUUGGAGCGAUGUGCAUCGGUUUGAGGUGUUAGAGUGGCUUUGGAGCCGGUUAUGAAAUUUCAGAGCAAGGUAAGUCUCCUUUCUAACCUUGUAAGAGGGAAUUAACCCCAUAGGUGAACUAAAUUAUUGUGUGCUUCUAUUUGUGGGGGAUACGUAUGCACGAGGUGACGAGAGUCCGUACGUAGCUAUUAGUUAUGCCUAUGUCCGGAUAGUUUUAGGCUCACAUCAUGCCUUGUUGAUAUUGUUAUUGAUUUAUGUUUAUUGUCUGCCUUGAGAGGGAGCGAUAUUGAGUUUGCUUAUUAAAUGUUUUGAAAGGAGUUGAAAUUAAAGAAUGUAAGAUUUAAAAGGUUUCGUUUGAACUUCAAAAUUUUGAAAAGGAUUGAGUAAUGCUAUAAUAGCUUAAGAAAUCUAUGUGUAACCGCGUCNCANNNNNNNNNNNNNNNNNNNNNNNNNNNNNNNNNNNNNNNNNNNNNNNNNNNNNNNNNNNNNNNNNNNNNNNNNNNNNNNNNNNNNNNNNNNNNNNNNNNNNNNNNNNNNNNNNNNNNNNNNNNNNNNNNNNNNNNNNNNNNNNNNNNNNNNNNNNNNNNNNNNNNNNNNNNNNNNNNNNNNNNNNNNNNNNNNNNNNNNNNNNNNNNNNNNNNNNNNNNNNNNNNNNNNNNNNNNNNNNNNNNNNNNNNNNNNNNNNNNNNNNNNNNNNNNNNNNNNNNNNNNNNNNNNNNNNNNNNNNNNNNNNNNNNNNNNNNNNNNNNNNNNNNNNNNNNNNNNNNNNNNNNNNNNNNNNNNNNNNNNNNNNNNNNNNNNNNNNNNNNNNNNNNNNNNNNNNNNNNNNNNNNNNNNNNNNNNNNNNNNNNNNNNNNNNNNNNNNNNNNNNNNNNNNNNNNNNNNNNNNNNNNNNNNNNNNNNNNNNNNNNNNNNNNNNNNNNNNNNNNNNNNNNNNNNNNNNNNNNNNNNNNNNNNNNNNNNNNNNNNNNNNNNNNNNNNNNNNNNNNNNNNNNNNNNNNNNNNNNNNNNNNNNCCUUCAAAUUUAUAUUUGACCGCGUCGCACGUAUGAUUCGCGAGCGGGGUAUUUCCUUCUACACUCUUAUGGGAUCGGGCCGUUCGCCUCGGCAGGAUUCAUGUACCACACUCUCAUGGGAGUGGGCCGUUCGCCUCGGCAGGUUAAUAGAUGCAUCUAUGGUUCGUGCUGUUCGACCCUCGGCAAUGCACAAUUUACUUUUAUGUUGGAUCGGGUCGUACGCCUCGACAUUUUCCAUAUAUAUAUAUUAUCCUCAUGGAAUCGUGCGUAACGUCUGGCAAGAAGCCAGUGUAUCUGAGGGUUUUUCCCUGAUGUGGAUUAUGACAAACUCUUUGAUGAAAUCCACUAUAUCUAUAUAUAUGCUCCGGUUAGAGAGGGAACUUGCUAGUUGAGAGCCUGAGUAAAUUGUGAAGGGGAAAAUUGUAUUACGUAUUUUAUACUUAUUUGUUUCAUAUAUUUACUCCGUCUCAUAUUCAUUCACUUCUUUACCGUACCUGAUAUUAUUGGACCACUAGUAAGUGUCGAAGUCGACCCCUCGUCACUACUUCUUCGGGGUUAGGCAUGAUACUUACUGGGUACACGUUGAUUUACAUACUCAUACUAUACUUAGUGCAUAUUUUUAUGCAGGUGCAUAUAUGACUAGCAGCCUGGCGGGUGUAGAGGUGUGGUUAAAUGCGGAGACUUAGCUGAGCUGCAUUUUCAUCUACGAUCUGCAGCUAGCAGAGUCCCCUUCAGAGUUACUUAUGUAUUUUCCUGUCUAAUUUGUAUUCUGGACUGGUGUUGUAUUUUAUUUUAUCUUCCUAAUUGAUGCUCAUGCACUUGUGACACCGGAUUUUGGGGUGAUUAUGGGUCAUCUUGUGUUGAAAUUGUUGAAAAUAUUAUUAUUUACUUUGUAAACUCCAUCUUUUUCUAUUUAAUUAAAGAAAAAUAUGAUCUCAAAAAUAACAAAAUGAGAACCUAAUUAAGUAUUUAUUGUUGGCUUGCCUGACAGUGGAGUCCGGCGCCAUCGCGACCUUUAUGGAUUUUGGAUCGUGACACUUGUAAAAUGAAAAGACAGAUGGCUAUUUUAAAAUUUUGAAAAUACUCUCACAGAAAUUACAGAACUUCAGCGAACACAACAAACGGAACAAAUCACACUUGACACUUUAUUUAUUUGGAAAAAUAAUCCAACAAUGUAAAAAAGAGAGGAGAAAUUUUUAGAUUUUUUAUUUUUGAAAAAUGAGGCUAAGUAUCAUGACCUACCACAUCAUCAUGCCACGUAGGUGCCACUUGGCAUAUAUUUUUCCAUAUGGAAAGCUUACACAUGAAAAAGGCUAGAACUUGUAGGAAAGUUCUAGAUAAAUAUAGAGGUUUCCCAAGGAAGACCCUAAAACUCUAUGGAUUUUCUAGGAAAGUCCUUGGAAGAUUCUAGCCAUGUAGAGAAUUAUAGAGAGGGGUCUUACUUGUAAAUAAUAAGAGACUUGUGUAAUAAUUAAUAUUUACACACUAGCCCCUACGAGAUUAGUAUAUAAAAGGGGUCAUUCAUCUGUAAUUCAUCAAGCAAAACAAUCAAGUUCUCUACAAUAAAAAGCUUCAAUUUGGCAAAUUUCUUUUGUCUUUCUUAUUUAACAUUCCCUUAGCAGUCUUGAGCGUAGUAUUUUAGGUUGACUUGGCAUAGCAGGAUCGUGAACAAGUUGUCAAGUGCUGCAUGUGUGCUUAGUUCAAGACUAAGGACGUGACAACGUGGUAUCAGAGCAAAUGUUAUAACUAAAGGUGUCACGAUCCAAUCUCCCUCCGUAAGAUGUCAUGACGACACCUAGUAUCUACAACUGGGUAAGCCUAACAAUUGUGAAAUAAUUGAAAUAAAAGCAGAAUCAACAACUAAUUUUCAUCAGAUAACAAUAUAACAGAAAAAUGCCGCUCGGCAUGUACAAGUAACCAACAGCUCGAGUAUAACAAUAUUUUCAAAACCCGAUAAUCACAAGUCACAAGCUCUAAGAAUUUGUGUUACUGUUUCUAUACAUCAGUAACUAGAAGAAAUAAAGGAGGAACAACAUGAAAGGGAUAGAUGGGGAUUCCGAGGUCUGCGGACGCUGGCAGAUAUACCUUGAAGUCUCUGGAGCUACAACAAGUACGCAACUAAUAGUGGGGCUGGUAAGAGGUACCUGGAUAUGCACACAAAACAUGUGCAGAAGAGUAGCAUGAGUACACCACAACGGUACCCAGUUAGGCUAACAUGAUAACUACACAUGCUGGUAUAACUCAAUUAAGAUGUAACAGGUUACUGCUAAGUAAAAACCGGGUUUUAUAAUAAUUAGCCUAUGUACGCGCUCGUCACCUCGCGUACACAACACUCACAUAUCACAGAAAUAUCACAACAGUACCAAAUCCUAAGGGGAUUUCCCCCACACAAGGUUAGGCAAGCCACUUACCUCGAACCAAGCUCAAUCAAUCAGUAAGAAUGCUUUUUCCACGACUUUUCAACUACGAAAGGCCCAAAUCUAGCCAAAAGCAAUUACAUACCGUAAAUAUAACUAUAAGAAACUAGUCCAAUUUAUGAAAUCAAAACUUUAACAAGAAAUUAGAAAAUCGCCCCAAAAGGUCGACCCGGGUCCAUGUCUCAGAAUCGGGUAAAUAUCACAAAAUACGAACACCCAUUCAACCAUGAGUCCACCCAUACCAAAAUUACUCAAAUCCGAUACCAAAAUCUCAAUCAAAACCCAAAAAUUCGGUUGAAGAACUUUCCAACUCCCCCCCCCCUCCCCAAUUUUCUCAAUCCAAAACCUUAAUUUAAAGAUGAAAUUAACGAUAGAUUAGUGGAAUAUAACCAUAAAUGAGUUAAGAAUCAUUACCCAAUAGCUUCCUCUGAAAAUUCCUCAAAUUUUCGCCUCAAUCUGAGCUCUCAAAGUCCCAAAGUGAAAAUGAGAUCAAACCCUCGAAAUUUUCCCUUUUCUGCCAGUGAUCUCGCAACUGCGGACACACAGUCGCACCUGCGAUGCCGCACCUAUGGAAUUUUCAUCGCAGGUGCGGACUUGAAUUAAUACACCUGGGUCCGCUUCUGCGAUCAAAUGGCCGCACCUGCGACUGCACGCCUGCGGAACUAGCCCGCUUCUGCGGACUCCUCACCAGCUCGUUCUUCGCUUCUGCGAUCACACCUCCGCAUGAGCGGCUCCGCUUCUACGGUCCUUAUAUCGCACCUGCGACCACUCACUACCUAGACUAGGGCCGCAUCUGCGACCUUCCUCUCGCACGUGCGUGUCCACACCUGCGGCCAAUCUCACCGCAGGUGCGAUGACACCAGAAGCUGGAAAGUUUCAACAAUACUCCCAAGUCAAUUUCUAGUCUGCUAACCACCCGGAAUCCACCCGAGACCCCCAGGACCUCAACCAAAUAUACCAACAAGUCCUAAAACACCAUACGAACUUAGUCGAGCCCUCAAAUCAUAUCAAACAACAACAAAAAUACGAAUCGCACCACAAUUCAAGCUUAAUGAACCUUGAAACUUCAAACUUCUACAACCAAUGUCGAAACCUAUCAAUUCACGUUCGAUUGACCUAAAAUUUUGCACAUAAGUCAUAUUAUUACGGACCUACUCCAACUUCCGGAAUCGGAAUCCGACCCCAAUAUCAAAAAGUUCACUUCCGGUCAAACUUCCCAAAAAUUCAACUUUCGCCAUUUCAAGCCUAAUUCAGCUACAGACCUCCAAUUCACAAUACGGACACGCUCCUAAGUCCAAAGUCAUCCAACGGAGCUAACAGAAUUGACGAAACUCCAUUCCGGAGUCGUCUUCACACAGUUCGAACUACGAUCAAAAUCCUAGAACUUAAGCUUAUAUUUUAGGGACUAAGUGUCCCAAAUCACUCCGAAACCAAGAAUAAAACCUCCCAGCUAGUCACAUAAGCAUAAAAUAAUACAGGGAAAACAGUAAAUAGGGGAUCAGGGCUAUUACUCUCAAAAUAAUCGUCCGAGUCGUUACAAAAGGAACAUUAGAAAGAAUACAAGAGAUUAUUAGAAAAAAGCUUUGUAGGAAACCAUGAUCGGGAUUAUCAAGGGCGUGGUACUUGAAAAAGGGACAAAUGUGAAGGUCCCUAAGCAAAAGGAGUAUGGCGGUGUACGGGAUGUACGCGAGGUGGACGACUUACUAUGGAGGAUGGACAAGCACUUUGAGGUAGUCAAGGAGGAUGACGAAUUUGUUAAGGUACACAACGCCUCAAUGUACUUGAUCGAGGUUGCCUUGCUGGGGUGGCGUCGGAAGUGUGCCAACAUGGAAAAAAGGGCCAUGCAAGAUUGGGUCAUGAAAGUAGUUCAAGAAGGAUUUGAAGAGCAAUUCUACUCGAUGAAUGUAGUGUACGAGGCUAGGCGGAAGCUAAGAGAGCUCCGACAAACGGCCAUAAUUCGGGAGUAUGUGCGCGAAUUCACUACCUUAAUUCUGCAAAUCUCAUCGUUGUCCGAGAAGAUUAUUUCUUCUACUUCAUGGAUGUGUUGCAAAAUUGGGCAAAACAGGAGUUAAGAAUACAUCAAGUAGCCAAUGUGGACGAGGCCACCGCAGUAGCCGAGUUGCUCGUUGAAUUCAAGAUGGAGCUUGCCAAGUCCAAAGAAAAAAAUGCUGAGAGGGGUGGGGGAGAUCAUGACAAGGACAAGGGGAAAGUCAUAGCCGAGGUAUACACGGGCAAAGGCAAGGGGCCAUCCCUUAAUGGAUAGAGGUCCAAGAGAAACGGCAAGGGGCCAAAAAACGGUAGCGAGUACGUGCCUAAGGGAGGGUGCUACUUCUGUAAAGGAUCACAUCGGGCAAGUGAAUGCGCAAAGUUGGGAAAACUUGCAACAAUGAUCGGGAAUUUUGCUCAGGCACACAAGGGUGACACAGGAGGGACCUCAUACAUUGGGAGGAUGCGCUUGGAAUCUAAGCCGAAAGUAGGGGAUUCCAAAGCCUAUCUUGGCGCCAUGCAAAUGAAGCAGGGUGGCAGCAAGAAAAGUUGGGCGGACAUAGUUAAAGAGGAUAGAGAGUUACAAAGUGAUGGCACACUAUCGAACUUAGACAAUGCACAAAGCAGAUGGAUCAAGUUUGCUAGCAAGGGUGGGACCACAGAUGGCAGCCAAAUAGAGAGUGGAAGCAUAGACCCGAUGCUUGAGAAGCUGCUAGACUUGGUCGAGUCAUGGGGAGAUUCAGGCCAAGAGCAAGGAGAGGCAUCCGAUGGGCGGAGGAUCGAGGCCAUCAUUGCUAGCCAUCCAAAGUACAAACGGAGCAAGAAGAAAGGUGACCAGUACCUUGUGACAUGGGAAGGCAAACCGCUCCAUAGGAUAUCAUGGCUAAUGGACAAAGAUCUUCGGCGACUCCAAGGCGAGGUAGGUGCGCACGUACGUGUUGAUACUUUGUGCCGAGGGCGGCACAAAAUUAGGUGGGGGAGAGUGUCAUGACCCGGCACAUCAUUAUGCCACGUAGGUACCACUUGGCAUAUAUUUUUGCCAUAUGGAAAGCUUACACAUGAAAGAGGCUAGAAAUUGUAGGAAAGUUCUAGAGAAAUAUAAAGAUUUCCCAAGAAAGACCCUAGAACUCUAUGGAUUUGCUAGGAAAGUCCUUGGAAGAUUCUAGUUAUGUAGAGAAUAAUAGAUAUGGGUCUUACUUGUAAAUAAUAAGGGACUUGUGUAAUAAUUAAUAUUUACACACUAGCCCCUCAGAGAUUAGUAUAUAAAGGGGACCAUUCAUUUGUAAUUCAUCAAGCAAAACAAUCAAGUUCUCUACAAUAAAAAAUUUCAUUUAGCAAAUUUCUCUUAGCUUUCUUAUCUAACAUUCCCUUAGCAGUCUUGAGUGUAGUAUUUUAGGCUGACUUGGCAUAGCAGGAUCGUGAGCAAGUUGUCAAGUGCCGCACGUGUGCUUAGUUCAAGACUAAAGACGUGACAUAAGCCUCUAAAUUUAUAGACAAUGAAAAAGUGAGAUGAAGAGAUGCAAUUUAAAAGAUAUCUCUUCCAUUUCCCAUUCACACUCAUUCGCGAAACCUAACAUGCACUAUAAUGGUGAAAGCAAUUCGAAAAAUAUUUUAACGAAAUUUUCAAUUGAAAAUUAAAAAUAAUGGCUAUAUAUUUGAUGAAUAAAAGUAAAUUCAAAAUUUAAAAUAUUACAAGGAAGAUGACCUAGAUCAACAAAUGAGAGAAGUUAUAUUCCUCUAUUUGUUGAAAAAAUUGUCAACCAAACAUUUAAAAAUAACUUUUUAAUCAAAAAUUUUCGUCAUACUAAACACACCACACGCUUCAAGUUAAAAACGUACUCAUACAUAUACUGUGUUUAACACAAGUAAUAAACGCAUACAUGUGUUUUUCUUACCUACAUCUACUUGCACCGGUUUAUUUACCGGUUUAAUUCUCUUUCUCAAAAUAAAACAUUAAACAAGAUCCCCACUUUCCUUUUCCAGCUUUUGGGGGAGAGAGAGGUCUUGCUGGCAAUUUUACUCUCUUUGCUUUGCUUUUGUCCGCAAGAUCUCCUCUCCUUCUUCUCUCUUUCCUUUGUAAUAAUUAAUAAAACUUCCGCGUUAAUCCCAAAUCCCAAUUCCCUCUACUUGAUCUACUAACACCCUUUUCAUUUCCUUCAAUAAAAACCUCACCUUUCCCCCUUAAAUUCCACUUAUUUGCUCAUUUUCUUGAAGAAUUUCAAGAACUGAGCUUUGUACUCAAUUACCCAGUAAUAGAAACAAAAUGGGUUUUCAUUUAAACCCAAAAUAUAUAUGGAUCCUCUUACUUCUCAUUACUACCCCUCUGAUUUUUGCUCAGGUAGUGUUAAAAUCGGUUCUUUAACAUUUUGGGGGUGCAAAUGAUGUAUGAUGUCCUUUUAAUUUUGAUUUUUUUAAUUGUUUUGGAUUUACUUAGGAUGCUGUGGAUGAAACUGAAAUUGUUGAGUCAGGUGGACGGUUCAAAGAUCUGGGUAGGCGUAGUAAAGUGAGUAUACUUUAGCUUAAUUUGCAAUUUUAUCUGUUUGAUAUUUUGAAAAUUUACUGAAUGUGUGUGAUUUUUAUGCAUUGAAAGGUGUACAUUAUUAGUUUGGUGUGUGAGUGUAUGUGUUUGUCUUUAGUCAUUUACUUUUACUGUUUUACCUUGCUGGCAGCUGCUUAUUAUAGUGCUGCACAGAGGUGGAUCCAGAAUUUAGAGUUAGUGGACUUGGAAUCAGGGGUAGAUGUAGGCUUUAAGAUAUGACUCAAACCCUGUAUAUAUGUAACGAAAUCCACAAAAUAUGUAAAAAUUGAAAUUGAGAACCUAGUUGCUAGCACUUGAGGUCGCGGUUCUAGAAUCCAAAACUUAUAAAGCUCAAAUCUUGGAUCCGCCUUUGCUUGGAAUUCCACUACUGUAACUGUAUUUUUUGAAGCAGUAGGUUCGGCUGAACGCACUGCGUAUAUACUAAGUUCAUUCGACCUUGAUGCUGGAGUAGUAUGUCAUAGGAUUACGCAGAGAGUGGAAUAGAAGAUCUUGUGAUUACUUUUUGCUCAUUUCUCCAUAUCUACUGAAGCUUGGUGUCAAAUACUGAAGUAGAACCUUAAUCGAUGUAAACUUAAAGAGAUAUGAUGCAUACAGAACUAAAGACAUACCCCUAUAAAGACCCUAUAUAUUUACUGAAGUAGAAGUGUAGCGGUGGAAUAUUAGUCUUGCUAUAGAGUACAAUGUCGGAUGGAGCUAAGAUUAGAUGCAAGCAUGUUUACCAGGUGCGGAGAGUGACAUGUUAUAUGCACUGCAUGAGCAUCCAUCAGAGAGAGUAUCAAUUUAGUUUAAUAAGCUUUUGUCUGAGCAGCAGUUUUAUACUCGAAAGUUACUGCGAAUCAGUGAUUUAGUUGUCUGUGUAUCAUCGAGUCAGGUGAAAAAAGAUCUACAAAAACGAUAUAGGCUGGGAGUUAUAUGAUUGAAUGGAUACCUUGGUAUAACUCUGCUGAUAAAUGAUGUGUAGUGGCCCCCUGGGCUUUGGUCUAGUAGUAAGAGCAAAACGCGUGAUGUCUUGAUUAGGCGCACGCCACGAGUUCGAACUCUGCACUUGACAAAAGUCUGGUAUUCACAUGGAGUGGAUAGGGGGGGCGGGCUCAUUAUCCAUCGUGUUUCGAACCGUGCUCCAGCUGACCAGAAAAAAAAUUGAUCCAUAGUGUGUUAAAUAAAGAAUUGAAAGAACUGCAAACAAGAAAUGGUUCCUUCUGUUAUGUAUGAUUUGAGAACUAAUGGGUUACCAAUAACCGAACAUCAAAUUUUAAUGUGACACUAUUUGAGGAGUUUAAUAUGUUUUUGACUUGUGUAUUAUAUAAGCAGCAACUCAAAAAACUAUUAAAACAGUAAUUGGAAAGUUAGAUUUAUUGUAAAAACACCAUAUCCAGUUUUAAUUUAUUUAGAUAAAAUGAAGUUUGAUUUUGAGACUUUUAAAGUUGUAUAAAAUAAUUGAAUGGCGUUACACAUUUUGGUAUUUCUCCAAAUAAUAGGAACAUGUCUUUGAAUGGGGAUUAGGGAAAUAAUACUCAUCGCUAGCUUAUACAAUCUUGCUUGGCAUUUCUACCACACGUGUUUCUAAUUUAGUUUGUUUUUGCAUUUAUUUACUGGGCAGAUUAUUGUUGAGAAACUGAAGUCUGGUGUUGUGAGGGAUGAUGAUCCAGAUUCCGUUGAUCUUGGUCUGGACUUGGACUCUAAUCUUGGCACUCUUGAUGCCUUUUUUGCUAGUUUGUCGAUGAUCCUUGUCAGUGAGGUUAGUAACUAUGCCAGUUUAUUCUUUUACUACUGCUGUAUUUCGUUGCAGUUAAUUUCUGGUUAGUCUGCUUUUCUUCAUGACAAAGGUUGUACACUUAUCAGUUAUUUGUGAUUUUCUGCUUCUCACGAUAUUAGUGAUGAUGACUAUGAGGUUAGCUGUUGAAAAUCUUUUACUUCAAAAUAGCUGGUUGGUGACUUUUAAAUUGAACACUUCUGUUUCUCAAACCAAACUGCAGUUUGGCGAUGAACUAUUCAUUUUGGCUGUGCCGUCGUCAAAACAUUGCCUUACUCUUGUUUAAUAAGUGUUUUAUGGAUGGCUAUGCUGCUAGAUUGGUGAUGAGACAUUUAUAAUAGCAGCUCUGAUGGCAAUGCGUCACCCCAAAUCAAUCGUUUUAUCUGGUGCACUCAGCGCUUUGUUUGUUAUGACUGUAAGUAAUUUGAACUUCCUUCAAUACUUUGUUACUUCACACAUACAUCAUUACUUCUCUCCCCUUCAUUAUGUUAAAUUAUUUCUCCUACAUUUACAGUUCUCACUUUUAGUAUGUGCAAAUAUGUUUAGUACUAACUCUAGGUCUCUUCUUCAUAUAACUAGAUACUUUCUACUGGACUUGGUAGGAUAGUGCCAAAUUUGAUAUCAAGGAAGCAUACAAAUAGUGCAGCUACAGGUUGGUACUUUACAUAUUGCUGUUCUGUAAUUGUCUCGGUUUACUUUAACAAUGUGAUACCUUUCUGUUGAUUUUGGCUCUAUAACUGUCUCUAAGAUCUCGACUUGAAACCUGACAGUAAUUUUUCCGGUGUUCUUAUUCCAGUUUCUUGCCAGAUUUUUGAUUUUUCCUUUGUAGAAAAUUGAAUUAGUGAAUAGCUACUCAUUCUUUCUAUGCAACAUAAUGUAAAUUGUGAUUUCUUAUUGGGUUGCAAUACUACUACGUUUUUUCUGUUUUUUUCUUCUUGACAUGCCUAUUUUCUGCAUAUUUUGUGGGAUAAGACUGAUUCUAUCGUUCCCAUCCUUAUUUCAUUCGAUUAGAUAGUUACAAAGUUCUAUUUUUCCUAUUUUUGUGCAGUUCUUUAUCUCUUUUUUGGGCUUCGGCUUCUCUAUAUUGCAUGGAGAUCAUCAGAUUCAAAGGCUUCGCAGAAAAAGGAAAUAGAGGAAGUAUGUUCCCCUUUCUAUUGUUUUUUUUUUUUUUGAUAAUGGAUGUUCCCCUUUCUAUUGUGAGAUGUUUUAUAUUGCUAUAUGGUCUUUCUUUAAACCUGGAGUACUACUUUUGAUUUUCUCUUAGUCCAGAGUUGCCCGGUAAAUUUGAUCUCUUGGUGAAUAUUAAAUCUUUCAGGUGGAAGAAAAACUUGAAGCUGGACAGAGCAAAGCAGCAGUCAGGCGAUUCUUUUCUAGAUUGUUCACACCCAUAUUUUUGGAGGUAUUUAUCUGCAUUUGAGCUCAAUAUAUGUUCCAUUCAAAGGAAUGUCUGUUAUUUUUUUAAUUUCACUCAAGGGUGUGUCCAAUGGAUAGACCAGAAAAUUGUGAUAAGAGGGAAUCUAAGUAAUCCGAUUUCCUCUUAAUUUCGUAGAGAGUAUUACUUUUUCUUCCAUCAAAUAUGUGGAAUGGAAGUGCUGACAUAUCUUCCUCAAGUUUACUUCAUUUCCCCGUUUCCCUCUUAAAUGACAUGUUCCCACAUUCUAAUUUCUAUCCAAUUUCCCAUUAUUUUGCUUCCUCCAAUUGUGUCACAUGUUGUAUUUUGUUGGUCCGACCAUAUCAGUUUAUUACUUAAUUAAAAUCCUAAAAUCUAUGAAAUUUAUAAAAUAACUAACAUUAAUUUGUUGUCGUCUGUGCAGUCUUUUAUCUUGACCUUUCUCGCAGAGUGGGGAGACCGCAGCCAGAUAGCAACAAUUGCUGUAAGAUAUUCUUAUUUCCUUUUGAUUGGGGCUCACAAAAAGCUGGGUGCUACCUUUGUUUUCACGUGCUCGUUAAUCUCUUGGUUUUCAAGUUGUAGCAAUUUUUUAAAAUAGUUAAUAAGUCAAGAAAUUAUUAGCUUAUAAUAAUAGGAAAGUAAAGAAGAUUACUGGUAAGUAGAAGCUAUAGAGGUAUUCACUGUCUCGAGCAAGAAUAUGGCUAAGCAGAAACAUACAGGGCUUAUUAGCUUAGUAAUAUGUGUCAUUUAAGUUCAAGCGACGUGUUUAAUUGAUUAUGAUCUUCAUUCUGCAGUUAGCUACACAUAAAAAUGCAAUUGGUGUUGCUGUUGGGGCAACAAUAGGACACACUAUAUGUACUUCAGUGGCAGUGGUAGGUGGAAGCAUGCUCGCAUCGAAGAUCUCACAACGAACAGUAGCUACAGUCGGAGGGCUUCUAUUCCUCGGGUUUUCCUUGUCAUCGUAUUUCUAUCCACCUCUAUGAUUUUGGCUUCAUUAAUCGACCUUAAUUCUUCUGGAAUGGCAUUGUUGAAUCCAAUUUUUCGGUUAUUUCAAUAGGCUUAAGAAGGAAAUGAAUUAUUUGUACUACAGGAGUUUUACCUUAUUUUUUUGUGUGUAAAUGCAAGGGUAUGGAACAUGUUUUACAUAAAUCAGAAACAUUGUUGAAAAAUGGGCAGUUGUCUAUGUUUACAUUGUUUUAGAAAGAAGUAUGAAAAAUUGAGAUGACUUCCUACACUAGAGUAUUCUCCUUUAGUGUGCUAUUGCUUUUAACUUCACUAUGAAUACAACAACAAACAAAUAACAAUCCCACAUAGUGGAGUCGGGGCAGGGCAAGUGUACGCAGACCUUACCCCUACCUUGUGAAGGAACUUCACUAUGAAUAUCCCCUAAAAUUUAUUUUCCUGUCAAUUUAUUCCAUCAAAUGCCUAAUGUCUAAGAGCUCCUUUACGAGUUAGAAUAUUGGAAACAAGGGGGGAACUAAUACAAAGUUUGGUUGGCUGCAUAAGAAAAGGUUAUCUUCGCAAAACUAAUUCAGCGUUUGGUUAGCGAGAAUCUGAAGGGGAGCCGAGCCUUGGUGUAAUUGUUAAAGUUGCUGCCUUGUGACCAGGAAGUCACGGGUUCGAACCGUGAAAACAAUCUCUUGCAGAAAUGCAGGGUAAGGCUGUGUACAAUAGACCCUUGUGGUCCAGCCAUUUCCCGAACGCUGCACAUAGCGGAAGCUUAGUGCACCGGGCUGCCUUUUUGGUUAGCGAGAAUCUUGUCUUAUUUUAUACGAGAUAGAAUGCGGAAUACUAGCAAUACAUAGAUAAGGUUAUUUGAGGGAGAAAAGGUCCUAAAAUAGUUACUCAUGAAGCCACCUUCCUACAAAAAUGAGACUAAAUUUAUUGAUCUUUUCUUUGUUCUAAUGAUUAUAUUUCAGACAAUUUGGACUGACUAGCAGUUAGGUAUUCUAUCUUUGUUUCAUAUUAGAAAAGGAAAAUGAAAGACAGAAAAUAUUUAAUGCAAAAUUUCAGCAAAAAGAAUGAACUUUUACUCUAUCUGCCUACUUAUUUUUACUACUUAAUUCUACUUCACUGCAUCUAGGGACCAGAUAAUAUAACCUUUUUGUUAGGUUUGUUAGUUUUUUUCCGUCCCCACAAAUGUAUAGGCAUUUGUCUACCUCAAUGCCUAAACUUGGGUAAAUGUCCACAUCAAAGAACUCAAUCAAGAAAAUUUUGCAAGGACAUGACCUUUUGGAAUGUUUAUUUCUUCAUUAAAAAAAAGUUUGAUUUUGUACUUAGCUAUCUUGGGUGUAACUCUAUGGAUAUAUGCUGGUUUUUAUGUCUUAACUAAAGAGUUGUACUUUGAGGAUGUUCUAAAAUUCUAAGGAUAACUAACAUACCCGGUGAAAUCUCACAAGUGAGGUUUGAAGUCCGUAGUGUAUAUGCAAAUUUUUCCCCAUAUAUAUCUUGUGGGGUAGAGAAGUUUCUGAUAGACCCUCGGCUCAAGACAAACAUAGUCUUGUCUUAAUUAUAAAACCGAAACAUAAGCAUGUUCUAGAAUGCUAGCUAAGUUCAAUUCAUAAAGUUCCCCAUUUAACAUGUAUAAUAUAAAGUUUUGCAGUUAUCGACACUUAUACUAAAGGCAGAUACUUAGUGAAAUAAUCGAGGUGUAUGUCAGUUGACCGGACACCACCAUUAACAAAAAGACAGUGCAAUGUUUACUACAUUUGCAAGUUAUACACAAGUUAUAAUUAAUAUCCACGAGGUACAAAGAAAAUAUCUUAUUCUAUAAAGGAAUAAUUCAAUGCAAGACGUUUGGAUCCAAAGUUAGUUACACUUGAUAUAUUCCUUACACUUAAUAUCCUACAUUUGCUUGUAAUAGACUCCAUAGAGGUGGAGUCCAAUUUAAGUAUAUGAACAUUCCACUAGAAAUGAAAUGAAAGAAAAGGAAAAGAGAACUUUAGAUUAUAUAUGUUUAGUGUCAAUGGGAGAGUACUGUUUGGUAUGAUCUCUCCAACAAAAACAAAUGGUGACUUCUCCUCUAAGUGUAGCAAGUAAAAAGGAGAAGACCCCACCAUGCAUUUAGCCCAUCAUCUUUCUACCACUCAACAGAUAGGAUUUAAGUUAGAUACACUGUUAAUAUAAAAAAUAUAUUAUGCAUUAUUAACCGUCAGAAAUUUCGUUAAGAAUAUUCAAAGGUUGUCUACGGCAACAAUCUCUCUGUGUUCUUGAAGGUAAGAGUAAGGUCUGCGUACACACUACCCUUCCAAGACCCCACUUAUGGGAUUACACUGGAUUUCUUGUUGUUGUUGUUGCGUUCAAAGUUUAAAAUAUGUAUACAAAAAGUAUUUUUUAACCGAUAUACAAAGUAUAAUUUUUACAUAUGCAAUAUAAUUUUUCGAUAAAGGAUAUUUAGUUCAACUUAACACCCUUCACUUUAUGUGACUACGCCACGGACUAUUAGUACAUUUCAAGAACCAGCUGUAACAAAUUAAUUAUUUACUUUAUUUUUAGGUUAUAAUCUCGCUUAUUAUGAAAAAUUAUUUAUAAUUACCUUUUAAAUAACUUGAUAGUGUUAAAAUUUCUUGUGAUAUCAUAUAUAUAGAAGUUAAUUUCUAACAUAUAUAUAAAGAAACAAAAUAAAGACAAAGAAAGAGAUAUGAAGAAUGUACAGUUGGGAUUUCUUCUUUAGUUUACGUUUGAUUUGGAUAUUCUAAGGUUUUUUUAUUUAUCUUUUUUCAGCUAAAUAUUUGUUAUAGACUUUUAAAUACGUACCAUUAUUCUGACUUAAUAACAAAGGCAACUAGCAAACAUUAUAUAACAAACUAUUGUCUUUCACCAACCAUCUUCCUCCUCCAUCAGUUAUAUCUCAACCUCCUACAACUCUAAAGAAGAAAAACAAUACACCCUUUGAUAAGUUUAGUGUUUUUUUUUCUUUACUAGGUUUUUUAGUUUACAACAAUAAUGAGGUAUAGAAUGGAAAGAUUUGUGUUACUUCCAUUUUCUGUGGGUUGCAUCUCUGAAUCAAGUGUUGCAGUUGGUCAUCAUCAUCAGCUUAAUAAAAGUCCAAGUCCUGAACCCAAGUUAACUCUCCCAAGUAUGUCUUAUUUCCUUUUUCUCAGACAUCGUUUAGUGGCGAAAUCAGAAAUUUUAACAGAAUUUUAAAAAAAAAUCAAGAAUGUUAGCUCUAGGAUUUAAACCUGCGAUAUAAAGUAAUUUUUUAACCAUCUUUAUCACUUCACUAAAAGUUUCUUUAUGUCCAAAAAAAAAUUAUUUUUGCCUUAUUUAAAGAAUAUAAUUUUUCGUAAAGGGAUUCAAUUGAACCCGUUCAUUACAUGUAGUUCCGCCACUACACCACCCCACUACUUCUAAAAAAGUAGACCAGUGCACAAGACAUCCCGCGUUCACGACGGAUCGGUCGGGGAAGGUUCACAUCCCAAGAGGUGUGAAGUGGACAGUCAGUACAAGCAUUAGUGGCUGCUUCCGCAUGCCCCGCUACUUCUCUUCCCCUUUUUAAUAAAUUCAUAUGUCAAUUUCUGGUUUAUAUUGGUAUUUAACAUUUGUCAUAAUGCAGGAAGCCAAAAAGAAGGAAAGGAGGAGGAGCAAGAUCAAGAAGAUGAAGAUGACAAAGGUUUGGAGGGUGAAAAUUUGAAGAGUACAUUAGGCCUUAUGGCCCUUCCCAAGUUUCAGAGGCUUUUCAAGAACUUGUCCCAGUUAUUUGGUAAGUUCUCCUUGGAUAUUAGUAUACUCUUCUUUAAAAAAAAACAAAUAUUAGUAUAAUACCUAUGAUGGAAUUGGCUGCCUUCUGUUUAAUGCAUGCACUGUGUUUAAUUUAUUCAUACGAUACUACGUGUUUAUAUCAAAUCAAAUAAUUUAAUCAAGAUGCAAAUUUAAAUGAGAAUACAUAUCACUUAGUUUUUUAAUUAAAAUAUUGUAUAUUGUCAACUUAAUUUGUAGUUAAAAAACGGAAAAAAGAAACAAGAUCUACACAAUCAGCGUGAAAAAAUGUAAAGUUUAUAAUUAAAAAAAAAAAAUCAGUUGGAUUUGCUUAUAACCUUUUCUUUUAACAUAUUAUUCAGCAAAAUAAAAAUGUAUUCUUAAUUUACACUCAAGAUCAUCUAGAUUCUUAAGUCAGCGAAUACAUAUUACUACCAUUAAACAAAUAUUCCUUUGUAGAUUUAAAGAAAAACUAGUCAUUUAAUUUGUGAUAAUGGAUAAAAAACACGUUGAGAUUUUGUACAAAACGAUAUCAGUCUAUUAGCACAACUCAGUUUGUAUGUAGAUUUGGGUGUGGAGUUAUAGAGGUUCUAAGACUUUACUUCUUAUUCUAAAUUAAUGUUUAUUUUUCGUUACUCUCAAAGAUGUUCGCCUAUAUCCAUUUAUUCCAUAUAUAUAUAUACAUAUAAAGAGAGACACACACACAUAUAUUUAAAGAUAUUAUUUACAUAUAUAUAUUUGUGUAUUUUUUCUUCGAAUAUUGUUAGAUGCAUCCAUUUUGAUUUAAGUGUAUACUUAUUUUUUUAUUUUAUUUUUGUGAACCAGUGGACAAGGAAGAAAUGGAAGACGAAGAGGAGGAGAUGGGAAUGGAAAUAGGAUUACCAACAGAUGUGAAGCAUGUAACUCACAUUGGAAUAGAUGGUGAUUCUACUUCUAGCCUUUCAACAAGAAAUUGGGAUCAUCUUAAAUCCCCUAAUGAUAAUUUCCUCACUCAUUUCCCUUCUAAUUUCCCUUUAUCUCCUUUUGCCAUUGCUCAUUCACCUCACUCCCCUAAUCACAUUUCCAUGGCUAGCUCCUCUUAUUAAUUAAUUCAUUAAUUACCGCUUUUCACUCGUCCGCCACUGGAAACACUAUUUUUCGUCCGACUUGUAUGUGUUAAGCAUAUCGCCAGUGUUCAUUCUGAGCCAGGCUCGUUUCCCACUGUCAAAAAAGGAUCAAUUUGAAUGAAGUAAUUCUUAUAUGUUGGAAAAUUUGUGUCAAUGUUACCUUUAAUUGGUUCUUGUCAAAGUAUUGUACUUGGAUGGAUUACUUGCCUAUAGAGUUUGUUGGGUGUGAGAAAAAAGUUAAAUGUAUAUUUGUUUCUUUUUUACUUCAGUAAAAAUAAAUAAGUUCAUUAUUGUUAUUAUUAUUAUUAUUAUUAUUAUUAUUAUUAUUAUUAUUAUUAUUAUUAUUAUUAUUAUUAUUAAUAUUAAUAUUAUAAAUUAUGCACGUUUGGGUAAUGAAUGGUGUAUGCCGAAUUUUUUUAUUAGAUUAUUUUUGACCUGCUGUUUUAUGUCUUCCAAUCCAAAACAAAAUUGGAUUUUGGUUCUUGUCAAAAGUAUUGUACUAUGAUUGCUUUACUUGCCUAUAUAGUUUGUCGGUGUUGGAAAAAACAUUCAAAUGUAUAUAUUCUUUCCUUUUUCUUUCGGAGAAAAUAAAUAAGUUCAUUUAUAUUAUUAUUAUUAUUAUUAUUAUUGUUUGGAUAAUUUCAGUAUUAUGAUGGAAGAAGCCAUCAAAAUAUCGUCAGAAAUCAUAUAUUUUCUAACGAGACUUCAACGAUAAUAAUUUUAUCAAAGUUUAGAUGUUGUUAGAAUUCAGCUCGUCAAAUUGUUUUCCCAAAGAAAUAUUUGAAAAUUAGUGAAUAAUUUUGCGAGAUUUUGGCUCAACUUAGGUUAGGAUCAUUAGACCCUAAUUGACAGUUGAAAAACGUUAUUGGCUAACACGACGUUUUAAAUUGGUUUUGGUGUAUGAAUUGGAUGGUGAGAUCUUGAUAGGUUUGGGUCCUAGAGUCACCUUUAUUAGAAAAUACUUUACCUCCCAAUAUAAAAUUUUCUGAGGCGAAACUAGAUUUAGUCGGGCGCCAAUGCAAAUAUUGAACACCCGGUAAAAACCAAAAAAGAAAAGAAAGAUAUUGAUGGGUUCAAAACCUUACACAUAUUUAGAUGUAGGAUUGUGAAUGCAACUCUAAUCAAGAUGAGAGUUUAUUGUUAUUGAUAGAGAGUGAUGGUUAUCAAAUAUGGAGUAUAUUGUUAAAGGAAAGUGACAAAUUCCAAUCACAAUAAAAAUCAUUUCGGCAAAAUUAUUUAAUGUGGAAAGAAAGAUGUAAUAAUUAGUUGGGACAAUAGGGUAGAAAUAGCAUUCAUUGGUCAUUUUUCAACUUUAUUUUUGAAAAAUAGCUACUGUCCUAAAGUUUUAAAUUUGAUAUACAGUCAGACCUCUCUAUAACAAUAUCCCUAUAUAACAACAUUUCUCUAUAAAAGCCAAGCUUUUUCGAAAUCAAUUUUUAUGUUAUGUUAUAAUAUAUGUUUUCUAUAACAACACUUUGCUAUAACAUUCAAAAAUAUUCGAAACAAAUGAGGUUGUUAUAAAGAGGUUUGACUGUACGCAUAUAUGACGUAGACAUAUUUGAUUGUGAAUAAUAUUCAAAUUAAAUUGGACAUUUUUUUCUUGAAGGAGAACGGUAGCUAUCACCGCCGGAAUAUAAACACGAUAAUUAAACUAAAACAUCACCGACAAAAAAUAUAUUUUGGAAAAUUAUUAAAUAGAGAAUAGAAGAGCUAAAAAGGAACUUUAGGGAGUGACAUUCAAAUGUUUCCUACAAGAACAGAAGAAGGAAACUCUUAAAUUAACAAACGUGAACGAAAAUAAAACACAUAAAUAACAACAUAAGCAAUCAAUGCAAUUAUAACAUCUCAUGUCUAUUACGUAAUUACUUUUAAUGUUAGGAUCGGUAAAUCGGGUAGUGCGGAAUUUAGCAAAACAAUAUUAUAAUGACAAUAACAAAGACAAUGCAAGUUGAUAAUAACGGCAAUUAAAGAAGAUAAAGAAGACACAAAUUUAACGUGGUUCGGUCAAGGUGACCUACGUCCACAAGCGGAGAGGAGCAAUUUCACUAUACCAAUAAGAGUACAAAAGAGAGUAUAAAAUUAGAAUAAAUACUCUAAUUAGUCCCAAAUACCCCAAGAGAAUAACCUCACAAGAUCACUCCAAAGAAAGGGUUCACACAAGUGUUUUCCAACACUCACUCUCUUACAAUAUUCUCUAUAAUGAAAUAAAGGAGGAGAAAGAAAGACAAGAGUGAAAAACUCUUGAAUUGGUGUGUUUACAAAUGGGGAGAAUCUCCUCUAUUUAUAGCAAGAAAUCCUUGGCCUAAUAGUGAAUAUUAUGUUAUGACAAAUGUCAUGAUCCACAAAUUUUGUUAUAGUGGAUAUUAUGUCAUAGUAAAUGUCAUGAAAAUUUGGCCCACUUGAGAAGAAGCCAAAUUAAGGGUCAUAUUACAAAUCUCCACCUUGGCCUAAUUUCGGCUUAUAUAUAGUAAAUUUGCUCUAUCUUCUCCGCAAAAAAUCCCAAUGGGCAAAAUUAUUCUUCAUAAAUGCCAAUCAAGUUCAGGCAAAGCUUGAACUUGGACACUGGAAGAGGUUUCGGGAACAUGUCAGCAGGAUUGUCUCUAGUGUUGAUCUUCUGAACAGAGACUUUUCCUUCAGCAAUGAUUUCUCGGAUGAAAUGAUACUUUAUAUCAAUGUGCUUCGUCUUCUCAUGAUACAUUUGAUCUUUAGUCAAGUGAAUGGCACUUUGGCUAUCACAGUAAAUGGUAAUACCACCUUGGUGUAAACUGAGUUCCGCAAAUAGACCCUUCAACCAUAAAGCUUCUUUGAUCGCCUCGGUCACUAUCAUAUAUUCUGCUUUGGCAGUAGAUAAAGCUACUACAUGUUGUAAUGUAGCUUUCCAACUAAUAGCGCAACCACCGAUGCAAAAUACAUAGCCUGUCAGUGAUCUUCUUUUGUCAAGAUCACCUCCAUAAUCUGAGUCUACAAAACCAACCAAAGUGUUAGUAUUUCUCCCAAACUCCAAACAUGUGUUUGAAGUACCUCGCAAGUAUCUGAGAAUCUAUUUCACAACACGCCAAUGUGUUUUACCAGGGCAAGCUAUAUACCGGCUUACCACGCUCACUGCUUGUGAAAUGUCUGGACGUGUACAAACCAUUGCAUACAUAAUACUGCCGACUGCACUGGAAUAAGAAACCUGUGCCAUGUAUCUCUCUUCUUCCUCUGACUGCGGGGAAUAAGCAGUUGAUAACUUAAAAUGAGCAGCAAGAGGGGUACUAACUGGUUUAGCAUCUUUCAUGCCAAACCUCUCCAAGACUUUCUCCAAGUACUUCUUCUAGGUUAGAAAUAGCCUGUUGGCUUUUCGAUCUCUUUUGAUCUCCAUGCCAAGGAUUUUCUUAGCUGCUCCCAAAUCUUUCAUCUCAAAUUCACUUUUCAGCUGACUUUUCAAAUUGUGAAUUUUUUGUUAAAUCCUUAGUAGCAAUGAGCAUGUCAUCAACAUAUAAUAAUAGAUACACAAAUGAACUAUCGUUUAACUUCCGGAAGUAAACAAAAGUAUCAUACAUGCUCCUCGAAUAACCAUGACCCAACAUAAAGGAAUCAAACCUUUUAUACCAUUGUCUUGGAGACUGCUUUAAUUCGUACAAGGAUUUCUUCAACAAGCAAACAUGAUCUUCUUUUCCUUCACUUUCAAAUCCUUCGGGUUAAUGUAUGUAUAUUUGUUCCUCAAGUUCGCCAUGCAAGAAAGUUGUCUUAAGAUCAAGUUGUUCUAAUUCCAAAUCAUACAUGGCAACGAAGGCAAGCAAGAUACGAAUAGAGCUAUGUUUAACAACAUGUGAGAAAAUAUCAUUAAAAUCAACUCCUUGUUCCUCACUAUAGCCCUUUGCAACUAAUCGUGCCUUAUACCUCGCAUCUUCAACCCCUGGAAUGCCAUCCUUUUUCUUGAAGACCCAUUUGCAACCAACAAUUCUUUUUCUUGAUGGCGGCUUCACAAGAGACCAAGUACCAUUCUUGUGGAGAGACUCAAUUUCUUCAUUCGUUGCAAUUAGCCAUUUGGCUGAGUCAGUACCAGAAACUGCUUCUGAAUAUUUUGAUAGUUUCCCAAUUUCUUCAGUUUUCUGUGCAACUGAAAAAGCAAAUGCAACAUAAUUUCCAAACCUUAAUGGUUGUUUACCUUCUCUUCUUGGUCUAUGUUUGGCUAUAGAAUACACUUCUUCUUCUGAUUCAACUUCAGGAGUCUCAACUUCAGGAAUUUCAGCUUCUGGCUCAACUUCAGGAGUUUCAACUGUAUUUUGCUCCAAAGUUGAUGAGCUUGGCUCAGAAAGAAUGCCAAUCUCAACCUACACCUGCUUCUGUGUACUCUUUCCUUUAUCUGUAUUACAAGAACUAGAAGACUCUUUUCUAGAAUGUAAUCUAGAGGAUUCAUCAAAGGUUACAUCUCUAUUAAUUAUAAAUUUUGGUGUCGUGGGAUCAGGAUACCAUAGUCGGUAUCCUUUCACCCCAGAUGCAUACCCAAGGAAAAUGCACUUUUUAGCCCUUGACUCUAAUUUUCCAUCAUUUACAUACAUGUAUGCAGGGCAACCAAAUAUCUUUAAAUCAGAAUAAUUAGCAGGAGUACCUGACUACAUUUCCUUUGGAGUCUUAAGUUCAAAGGUGCAAAAGGAGCUCGGUUGAUAAUAUAACAAGCUGUAGAGAUAGCUUCUGCCCAAAAGGCGUUUGUCAACCCAGCAUUUGAAAUCAUGCAACGAGCCCUUUCCAAAAGAAUUCUAUUCAUCCUUUCUGCCAUACCAUUUUGCUGUGGUGUCAUUUUCACAGUAUGAUGUCGAGAAAUUCCUUUAUUCUUGCAAAAUUCGUUGAAUUCAUCAUUAUAAAAUUUCAAGCCAUUAUCUGUUCUAAGCCGCUUAACCUGUUUUCCUGUUUGCUUCUCAAUCAAAACUUUCCAUUGUUUGAAAUUUAAGAAAACAUCACUUUUAUUUUUCAAAAAAUAAACCCAAACUUUCCUUGAAUAAUCAUCAAUGAAAGUUAACAUAUACUGGCACCACCUAUUGAUGGGGUAUGUGAAGGACCCCAAAGAUCUGAAUGAAUGUAAUCCAAAGUACCUUUUGUUCUAUGAAUCGCUGGAGAUUUGAAGCUGAUUCUUUUCUGCUUUGCGAACACACAAUGUUCACAGAACUCUAUAUUUUCGGUACUUUGGCCACAUAAGAGACCUCUUUUGCUGAGGUUGGAAAGACCCUUUUCACUCAUAUGCCCCAAUCGCAUAUGCCACAAUUUGGUGAUGUCAGAAUCUGAUUUAUCUGAUAUUGAAACUGCAGAAGCACCCAUAACAGUAGAUCCCAAAAGAGUAUACAACGUACCAGAUCUGGGUGCUUUCAUGAUCACAAGAGCACCAUGAGAAAAUAACUUUGCAGGCAGCAUUGUUGCCCAUCAAGACAACUCCACCUCCAAUAGAUUCAUAUGUGGUAAAUAAAUCCCGAUUGGGACACAUAUGAUAAGAACAACCCGAAUAUAAAAUUCACUGAUUAUUAGAUUUGAAACUAUUAUUAGUUGCUAAAAAAAUAGUUCCCUCAGUCUCAUCAGCAGCUACACUUGCUUCGGCAGUGUCAGUAUUUUUAUGCUCAUUUUUUCUUUUCUGUAUGCUUUUCUUUAUUUUUUAAUUUAAAGCAUUCAGAAAUAAUGUGACAUUCCUUAUGACAAUAUUUGCAAAUGACAUUUCUGUAUCUGGAUUUUGACCUUGAUUUAGGUUUCUCACUACUUGAAUCUUUCUUAUUGGAUCUAUCUCUUAUGAAUAAGCCUUCCCCUUGGUUCCCAUUAGUUUCUCCAGUAAUAUCUCUAUCUAUUUGUUCUUUUAAUUUCAAAAUAGAUUUGAUAUCUUUAUAAGAGAUAUUAUUCUUUCUAUAAAGCAUAAUAUCUCUUAUAUGUUUAAAUGACUGGGGUAAGAAAACAAGCAAUAACACAGCUUGAUCCUCAUCUUUGAUUUCAGCAUCUAUGUUACUUAAAUCCAUAAGAAGAGAAUCAAAAGUAUCAAGGUGUGUAAGUAUAGUUUGGGCUACAGACCUAAAAACUUCAUGUUUCGCAAGUAAAUUCAACUCAGAUUGGAUUGCUUCUUGCCAUUUUGGCCAAUCACGUCUUUGUCGACAUUCUCGAACAGAUUGAGAUUCAAGAUCCUCAUUAUCUUGCAUAAUGCUAGAUGCAACAUUGUAUACAAAGACAUAAUCCACCACUAUAUUCAAUCGAUUCAAAUUUGUCUUAAUAUCGAUUGGAUUUAUUGAUAGUUCCUUAUUUUCUUGAGUCUCAGGCUCAUCGAUAUCCUCAUGAAUCUCAAGACUGGUUAAAUCAUGGGUUUCUUUAUGAGACUCUUUCGUAGUGUCAUCUUGAUCAUUUAUUUUUCCUUUUCUAGGAUUUCAAUCCUUAGAACCCAAUGGUCUGCCACGCUUUAGGCGUGCUAUUGACUCAUUAGGUAUGACACUAGAAGAUUGUCCAACAGGUACAUCAAUACGGAUUGGAAUAUUCUCUGCAGGAAUAUGUGAUUUUGUUAUCCUUUUCAGAUCCGUAAAUACAUCUGGCAUUUGAUUUUCUAUUUUCUGCAAAUAGAUAAUUGUUUGCACCUCCUUUUCACAAUUAUAGACACAUGGAUAAAGAUGAGACAAUGAUGGAUUUUUUCAUGAAAAUUUUCAUUUGAUAUCACCGAUUUCUCCCCCAAAUUUUGGGAAAAAUGCUUCAUCGAAUCGACAAUUCACAAAUCGAGCAGUGAACAAAUCCCCCGUUAAUGUUUUGAGGUAGCGAAUAAUGGAGGGCGAUUCAAACCCAACAUAUAUUCCUAACCUUCUUUGGGGACCCAUCUUGGUGCGAUAUGGUUAUGCUACAGGCACAUAUACAACGCAUCCAAAAAUUCUUAGAUGAGAUAUAUUAGGUUUAUGACCCAAAACUAAUUGCAACGGGGAAUAUUUAUGAUAAUUUAUCGGUAUGAGACGAAUUAACAUUGCUGUAUGCAAAAUGGCAUGACCCCAAACUGAAGUGGGCAACUUGGUUUUCAUGAGUAAUGGUCUUGCUAUCAAUUGCAGACAUUUAAUCAAAGAUUCUGCAAGGCCAUUUUAAGUGUGAACAUGAGUUACAUAAUGUUUCACUUUUAUCCCAAAUUGAUAAGCAAUAAUCAUUAAAUGCUUGGGAUGAAAAGUUUGUGGCAUUAUCAAGUCUAAUAGACUUAAUUGAAUUAUCGAGAAAUUGUGCCCGUAAUCGGAUUAUUUAUGCCAUUAAUUUUGCUAAUGCCAGGUUGCGAGAUAACAAUAGGCAUACAUGAGACCAUCUAUAAGAUGCAUCUAUUAAGGCCAUAAAAUAUCUAAACGACCCACUAUAUGGGUGAAUAGGUUCACAAAUAUCCCUUUUUAUACGUUCCAAAAACACAAGGCACUCAAUCCCAACCUUUGUUGGUGAUGGUCUAAUAAUCAACUUGCCUUGAUAACAAGAAGUGCAAGAAAAUUUAUUAUUUAAAAGAAUCUUUAAAUUCUUUAAUGGAUGCCCAUUUUAGUUUUCUAUAAUUCGUCUCAUCAUAAUUGAUCCAAGAUGUCCCAAUCGAUCAUGCCAAAGUACAAAAGUAUUGGAAUUAGAAACCUUUUGGUUUACGAUAAAAUGUGCCUCAAUUGCACUAAUUCUUGUCCAAUACAUGCUACAAGAUAAAGAUGAGAACUUCUCAAUAACCCUUUUCUGGUCAGAGACAUAAUUGGUAACGAUGAGAUAUUCAAGAUUAUUCUCAUCUAUUGUCUCAAUAUGAAAUCCAUUUCGACAUAUAUCUUUAAAACUCAACAAGUUCCUCUAGGACUUGGAGGAGAACAUCGCAUUCUCUGUGAUAAGUAUUGUUCCCUUAGGCAGAGUUAUAUUAGCUCUUCUAGAGCCUUCAAUUAGAUUACUACUACCAGAAAUUGUAGUAACAUCUACCUUACACAUACUUAAAUGAGAGAAAUAUUUCUUUUCUUUGAAUAUUGUAUGUGUUGUACAUGAAUUAAUUAAGUAAAUAUUUUUACAAUUGAACUUUGAUCCAAGUUUGCUUUGAAAUAUAUUCAUAUUUGCUUCCCAUGGUUUGAUAUACAAACAGAAGUAUAUGAAUAAAUAUUAGUAUUUUCAGAGAAAAAGAAAAAAAAAUAAAGUUAACCAAAUGAUUUAAUAGUGACUUUUAAUGCAAUUUCGAGCAAACUCUGAUUAUGAUACAAAUAAUUCCAUAGCUAUAAAUAAUGCAAUUAUUUUUAGGUUGUUAUAUGAUUUUAAAACAAGAAAAACUUAAGACAUAUUAAUACACACGAAACAAUGAGUGUGCAAAUAAAGGUAAUUAAACACAAAAGUAGACAAUAAACUGUAUAAAUAUUAAAAACAGGACCAACGUUCAUAAGGUAUAUAAUAAACAAAAUGACGAAAUAUUGUAGUUAUAUUAACGAGUUACCAUAAAUAAUAUAUUAUAUAAUAGUUAAGUAACAAAAAUAUUUCUUAAAAUAUGCUAAAUAAAAAAAUGGUCAAAGUUAUACAUGUAACCUCUUAAUUGACAUCCUUCGUGAAGAAAAAUUUAAUGACGCUUUAUUAGAACUCAGAUUACUAGGCUUACAAACCAAUUGCUUGAACAAAGUGCGGCAUUGAUACUGUUGGUACUUUAAAUAAUUAAGUCAUAUUGACAUAAAAAAAUCCAAGGUUUGUUUAGUACUAAUUUCAAUGUUAAGUGAAAUAAUAUAAUAUUAACACAUAAGAAAAGAAGAAUAUUGCUUGGCCACGACCACGACCACGACCACGAAUAGCAUAAUGGGAAUACACUUCAUCCAUGUCGAGCAAUGGUGUAGACCCAAUGGGUCGAUUAUCGUGAUUUCUCAUGGGCAAGUCAUUGUUUCGUUUAGCUACAAGGAGAAGAGAAAUCAAUUCAGAGUACUUCUUGAAACCUUUCUCUCGGUACUGCUGUUGCAGGACCAUAUUGGAGGCAUGAAACAUUGUGAACGUUUUUUCAAGCAUAUCAUAGUCAGUGAUACUAUCUCCACAGAGUUUUAAUUUAGAAGUAAUUCUGAAUAUCACAAAAUUAUAUUCAAAAAUAGACUUAAAGUCUUGGAGCGUUAGAUGAGCCCAAUCAUAUCGUGCUUGUGGAAGUGUGGCCAACUUUAAGUUGUCAUAUCUUUCCUUUAAACUAUUCCACAAAACAAGUGGAUCUUUGACUGUGAGAUAUUCUAUUUUCAACCAUUCAUCAAGGUAAUGGCGUAAGAAAAUCAAGGCCUUAGCACAACCUUGGGUAGAUACUUUAUUUCUAUCUUUAAUGGUGUCUCCAAUACUCAUUGCAUCUAAAUGGAUUUCAGCAUCCAAUACCCAUGUCAUAUAGUUAUUGCUCGAAAUUUCAAGGGCAACGAACUUUCUUUUCAUAAUAUCCGUCAUAAUUAAAAGAGGAGAAAAAUUAUACAUUAGUCUUCUCAAAGAGCUUCUUGAGACGGUAGAGUCCCGUGCUGAUAACGUGUUAUAAAUAUAGCUCAAAGUAACAAUAUAGAACAAGGAAAAAUAAGCUAAGAGAUAUAGAGAGAAAGAGAGGAGAGAUUAUUAUUUUUUGUUCAAUUGUGUGUAUUUUCCUAUCUAUUACAAUGUCUUUAUAUAAGCAUGAAAAGUGAAGAAAAUAUGGCAUUGAAUAUGUCAUUAAACAUAGAAAAUAUAUCAUUGAAUAUAUCACUAAAUAUUUGAGAUGAAGAUCAUGGAGAAAAAGUAGACAUACACCGUAAUUUGAUAUGUCUUAUAACAUUUUAAAAAUUUUCGUUUUUCGUUAUACCCAAUACAAUCUUGAUUUAAAGAGCUUUUAAUUGUUGACUUAGAUUAAAAAAGAAAUCAAGGGUAGCUCUGAAAGCGCAUGCUAGACACGGUCUGCUAACGUGCGCCACUCACCAUGCCUCGCCGGAAACGACAGGUUCCUCCACCCCAACCAAACCUACAACCUAUACCAAAUGUUAAUAAGCCCACUCCUCCAAUGACUAAACCAGAUAGAAUGGUAACACCAGAUUCUGGAAUUCCCCAAAACCUAGCUCCAUUGCAACUGGUCAAUUGGAUUCCUAGAGCAGAGAGAACUGCCGUACCAAUUCAAAUUGAAGUUUCUGAAUCAACAGAAAGCAAAGGUGAAGAGGAAGCAACUGUAAUUGCGAGGAAAUUAACAUUCUCAAAUGAAGCGAGGGAGACGAAGCCAACCAUGGCUGAGGUAUUAAAGGACAAUCGACUAAAACACCAAGGUAUGAAAUUGAAUUACUAUGCUCCAAUCAUGAAGGAUGGUGUAAAGGUUGUGAAAUUGAAAAACAGCAUAGAAAAUGGGAUUGCGGACUGAUUGGGUAUGUAUUAGGGGGAAAUCCCAAUUUCAAAGAUAUGCUAAAGUUUGUCUAUGGGGUAUGGCACUUUGUAGCUACACCUAAGGUUUAUCUGCACGAUGAUGGCUAUUUUAUCUACCGGUUUGAAUCUGAGCAAGACAAAGCCAGUAUCAUGGAGAAUGGCCCCUACACCUACAAUAACAGACCCUUGAUAUUGAAGACAUGGACGCCUGAGUUCCAGAUGAGCAAAGAACCCAUUCGUCUAAUUCCACUGUGGCUCUGCUUUCCUAGACUUCCACUACUGUACUGGACAGAGGAAAACUUAGGAAGAAUUGCAAGCUACCUAGGGAAACCUAUAUGUACAGAUAGACUAGCGGCACAGGAAGACAGGGUGUUCCUUACCAACAGGCUCAAGAAGGCAGUAAAUUACUUGGUUAGUAAGUCCCAAUCUACUUUUAUUGAAGGUAGGAGCAUUCUGGACAAUGUGAUAGUAGCACAUGAACUGGUAAAAGGAUACUCAAGGAAAGGGGUGUCUCCUAGAUGCAUUAUCAAGGUGGACAUUAGAAAAGCUUAUGAUUCAGUUGAAUGGAGAUUCUUGAAAAUGAUAUUACUUGAGUUUGGCAUUCCUUUUAGAAUAGUGAACUUGAUUAUGACUUGUGUCACUACAGUUAGCUAUACACUGCUGAUAAAUAGAGGACUGACUUCAAGGUUUCAAGCAAAGAAGGGACUAAGACAAGGAGAUCCUAUGUCUCCAUAUCUCUUUGUCUUAGCAAUGGAGUACUUAAACAGAUCUCUAAAACAAUUGAGGCAUAACCCAAAUUUUAACUUCCACCCCAAGUGUGCUAAUCGAGAAUUGAUACACAUCUGCUUCGCGGAUGAUCUGUUGAUGUGCUGUAGAGCAGAUAAGAUUUCAAUCCAACUGAUGCUACAAGCUUUCCAACAUUUCUCUGAAGUCGAAGGGCUACAAGCAAAUCUGGAUAAAAGCUCCAUAUACUUGGCAGGAGUAUCACAAGAAUUUAAAGCAUAAGUCACUAAGGAAUGGAAAUUUACUGCGGGUGAAUUACCUUUCAAAUACCUGGGGGUGCCACUUUCUUCUAAAAAGCUAAACAUACAUCAGUAUAUGCCCUUGGUGGACAAAAUUGUUGCAAGGGUCAGAUGUUGGACAACAAAGUUCUUGUCAUACAGUGGGAGAGUGCAACUGAUUAAGAGUGUACUAUUUGAGAUGCAAACUUAUUGGGCUCAGGUCUUCUUGUUGCCAAAAAGAUUCUAACCAUGGUUACUAACAUUUGCAGAACUUUCCUAUGGACAGGAAGUACUGAUCACUCCAGGAAAGCCCUUGUGGCAUGGGAUAAAUUAUGCCUGCCUAGAUCUGCUGGGGGACUCAACAUUAUUGACAUCUUCAAGUGGAAUAAAGCUGCUUUGUGCAAACUCCUAUGGGCAGUAGCAUUGAAAGAGGACAGGUUAUGGAUACAAUGGAUACAUGGUAUCUACAUCAAGACGCAAGAUCUAAUGCAAAUGAAGACACCACAGCAAGCUAGCUGGCUAGUUAAAAAGAUUUUUGAAGCAAGGCAAUGGCUAGCUGAAGCAGGAGAUCCUAUCACAAUGCUAGAAGGAAUGGUUGACAAAGGCAGAUUCAGCAUUAAGAAAGCUUACAGAUCUCUUAUGCCUCAGUAUGAAAAGGUCUCAUGGAAAAGUCUGGUGCUAGCUAAAGGCUUACUACCUAGGCACCAAUUCAUACUAUGGUUAGCUGUCCAAAAAAGACUAUCCACAGUAGACAGACUAAAGAGAUGGAGGGUGCAGGUUUCUCAGAACUGUGUGCUAUGUGAGACUGACUCUAUUGAAGAUCUUGCGCAUCUGUUCUUCUCCUGUCCAUAUUCAAACAACAUGUGGAGGAUCCUAACAAGAUGGGCAGGGAUAAUAAGACCAAUUGGCAACUGGGAUGAAGAGGUAACAUGGUACUCCAGGAAAGUUAACAAUUGCAGACCAAAGGCAGGUAUCCUGGGAUUCUUAUUUGCGGCAACAGUCUACCAGAUCUGGUCAGAAAAAAAUAGACGCAGGUUUACCAACCAGAAACUGGAAAGCAAACAGCUCAUCAGAGAGAUCAUACUACAACUGCAUAUGAAAGGGUAGAAGAUACUCAAGUGGAAGAAAGAGUUAGAACAGUUAAAUAGCUACCCUGUAUAGAUUAAAUGGAAUUAGUGAGUAUAGUUCAAGUGAAAUUAGUGAAUAUAUAGUGAAAUAGCAGCUCCAAUUGUAAUUGAGGAAUGACUCUAUAGUCCAGGCGAGUCAUCUUGUACAUAUUGAGUUACUUGGUUAAAUAAAAUUUUGCAGUUUAACCAAAAAUAUUGUUGACUUAGAUUAUAUCUUCUCAUUCCUCUUUCUCUUCUUUUUUCCUUUUUUUUUCUUUCUUUUUUAGGUGAAAAGUUUUUAUAGGUGAAUGAUAAUGACACGUUUGUUCUUUUCAACUUCUAAUUGGAAAGCAGCACGUGGUAGAAUAACAAUUGUAGGAUAAAAUAAACUAGAAUUAGGUGAUAUUAUCUUUACAGUAGAUAGAUCAACUAUAUAUUUUUUCCAAUUAAUUUUGACCUUGUCUGCUGCUUUCUCCUUGCUCAGAUUGACUAAUUGAGUAAUCACAAAAAAAGAAAAAAGAAAAAAAGAUGAAGCUUAAUGAGACUCAUAAGAUGGUAGCAAAUGAUUUUUGCUGAGAAUUUUUGCCUGGGAUAUAGUAGGGUUAAUUUCACUUAUGGUCAUUCAACUAUCUUUCAAUUUCAUUAAAGUCACUCAACUAUUUUUUGUCACUUAAAAGUAACUAAACUUUAUCAUUGUCACUUAAAAGUUAUUUUGGCUUAAACCCCUACCUUAAAUAUGACAUUGCAUAAAAUUUAAUGAGAAAAAUCCAAAAAUAAAUGUCACAUAAGCUUAAAUGGACCAUACCAACUUUAGAUCCAUUUCUCCCUUAAUGUGAUUUGACCCAUAACCCAAAUGAUUUCAAUUUUAAAACAAAUUCCACAUUAGUUUAAAAUAAUUAUCCUACACUACACAAUUUUUGCCUUUUCUGAUACAUAAUGCCCAUUUAUAAUUAUUUUAUACUAAAAAAUUCUUCUCUUGUUUGUAUGCCCCAUCCGAGUCGUUUUAUUACUCUACUGAAGUUAAAAUACUACUGUAUCCAACUCACAUAACAUAUUUAUAAUUUUCUAGUGAAGUUAAAAUAGUAUUGUAUCCAUCUCACAUAACAUAUGAAUGUAUCAUAAGCAUACAAGAAUAAUAAGGCUAGUGAGAAUAUAUUUUCACAAACUACCAUUCUAUUAAUUUCAAAAUAUUGCUUAUUAAGCAACACCAUCAUACAAAUAACCUGCUUAGUAAGCAACACAUAUAAUUAAAGUGCAUAACAAAAAUUGUCAAUAGACAUGUAAUUAUAGACAACAUUUUGCAAUUGUUUAGACAAACGAAAGAUUAUAUCUGUACGAUCAAAACCCCCCAUAAAAUCACAAGACCUAAUUUUAUGAGGGAUAUGUGUUUUUCCCUCUAUUGAAACCCAUUUAGGUUAUGGGUCAAAUCACAUUAAGGGAGAAAUGAAUUUAGUGGGUAUGACCCAUUUAAGCUUAUGUGGUAUUUAUUUUUGGAUUGUUCUCAUUAAAUUUUAUGACAUAUCAUAUUUAUUAGGAUUUGAGCUAAGAUGACUUUUAAGUAACAAUAAUAAAGUUUAAUUACUUUUAAGUGACAAAAAAUAGUUAUGUGACUUUAGUAAAAUUAAAAGAUAGUUGAAUGGACAUCAGUGAAAUUAAUCAUAUAUAAAAAGGUGUAAUACAAUUUAUCUUGAAUUUAAAUUUUAUGUAUACUUCUCAUUUAGUAAUAGUGCUUUAUCCUCAAUACGAAGCGUUCUAAAAUUCUAAUUUAUUCAAAUCCAAUAUAGGUACAAGAAAGGCAAAAUGUACCGCCCACCCUCAAAAUUGAAAGACUCGAGCUACCGACAAACACAGCCUACCUACAAACUACGUCAUCUAACUUAUUCCUUUCCUUUGAUUUUAUACCUUUUUGAUUGGAUACAAAAAUUUUAAAAUUUAUUUAACCUUCCUAUUGCAAUAACCAUUAGUAAAAAGAAUUCAUUAAAAUAAUAAUCUAAAAGUAGUAAUUUGAUCAAUUUAAAAUACAAGAAAAUUAUUAAUGAAAUUCUAUACAAAUGUAACAAGUAAAUUGAAUUUGUUUGAGACAAUUUUAUGUUUUAGAAAAGAAGAAGUCAUUUACUACUUCCUUUCGGAUCUACUUUUACUGUUUAAAUUAGUGAAGUAUUACCCAAAUGAGAUAUUUAAGGAGACAUAAAUAAUAAUCUAGAUAAAAACUUUUACGAUUAACGUUAUUACUUCUUAUUGUCAAUUUUAAUAUUUCAAUCAAAUAAGUAAUUAUUUAUUUAUGAUAUGAGCUUUAACACUUAAAAUUAUUUUAUACGGAGUAAUUGUUAAUGCUUAUUAGAUACUUUUAACAAGUUAAUCCGAACGAGCUCUAAAUAUAUCUUUCUUAAAAGGACAUAUAAAAUCAUAGAAUUCGGAUCUAUUUGCGCAUCUCAAUUAAUUUAAUUUUAGAAAAAAUGAUAUUGUAUCACCGCUCUUAAAAUAAUAGGCGAAUAUAUAUAUAUAUAUAUAUAUAUAUAUAUAUAUAUAUAUAUAUAUAUAUAUUUUUUUUUUUUUGUAUGUACAUACAUUCGAUACGUUAUAUACAAAAAUUAUAUAAAUUUUAUAUACUUUUUCGACUAACAAAUAUAAAUAAUUUCUGGCGCGGGCUAAAAGUGAAUAAAACCCUUAAUUUUAUUCAACAAGACUUGCAUAAAUGAGAAAAAAAUUAGUAUUUUUUAUAUGUGAUAAUUUGAAUUUGAGAUCUCAUUAUUCUCAAUUCAUUCCAUUGACCACUAGUCAUUUUUGCGUGCCAUUUUAGUUUUAAAUUUUAAAAAGAAGGACUCUUUAUCCAAAUAGUCGAUUAUAUUAUUAUUUACUUUUGCUAGACAUAUAAAUAGAUUAUAUAUUAAUUAUACACAUAUAAUACAUUGGCUACUACUAUUAUUAUUAUAGACUAUAGUGGUAGCCCAUCACAACUCACCAACUUCCCAAUCUUUCUACUUAUUAUAUAUCCUCCUAACCUCACUUCUUCACUUGCCCCUCUGUACCCAAUUAGCAGCAGCUGCUAAAAAAAGCUGCAUUUUUUUUUCAAGAUUCUUGCCAAAUCUUGAGCAUCUUCAUUUUCUUUCUCAAUUUUGCAAGACAGAAAAAUGAAGGUAAUUGAGAAGAUCCAAGAGGCAGCUAAAGAUGAAAACAGGGUAGUAUUUUCCUUUGAAUUUUUCCCACCAAAGACAGAAGAUGGGGUUGAAAAUCUAUUCGAAAGAAUGGAAAGAAUGGUAGCACAUAACCCAUCAUUUUGUGAUAUAACGUGGGGUGCAGGUGGUUCAACAGCAGAUCUAACACUUGAGAUUUCUAAAAGAAUGCAAAAUAUGGUGUGUGUUGAAACUAUGAUGCAUUUAACAUGUACAAAUAUGCCUGUUGAAAAGAUUGAUCAUGCUCUUGAUACUAUUAAGAUUAAUGGUAUUCAAAAUGUUCUUGCUCUUCGUGGUGAUCCUCCUCAUGGUCAAGAUAAGUUUGUUCAAGUUGAAGGUGGUUUUGCUUGUGCCUUGGAUCUGGUAAUUUCUCUACUUAAUUAUUCUUUGAUCUGUGAUCUAGUUGUGUAAUAUGAAUUGUUGAAUUGUAUGAUCUUUUCAUUUAAAAGAUUAAGUUGUUAGACCGAGCAUACUUUUAAUUACGUAAUAGUAUUAUGUUUCAACACGUGUGGACUUGAUUCAUAGCCUGUUUGGCUAAGUUUCUCGGAUCCUUAAAAAAAAUGUUUUUUUUUUCCAAAGUUAGAAGUGUUUGGCAAAGGUUUUAGAAAAAAAAAAAAAAGCUUUCGAGGAGAACCAGAAAAAGUAACUUUUGUUUAAAAGCACUUUGAAAAACACUUUUGAUAAAAAUACGCUUAGAAACACUUUUUAAAAGUUUGACCAAAUACUAAUUACUUCUCAUAAGUGAUUUUCAAAUUAAUUAGCCAUGUUUGGGAGGAUAGGUUUAUGUCCCACUCCUCUUGUACUUUACUUUGAUUAUCAAUAAACAAGUUGGGGGUCAAUGCCAAACCCCCAUCACCACGGGAGGUGAAAGCCCGGGCUGAUGGAUUAAUUUAUAAAUAAAUAAAUAAAUAAAUUAAUUAGCCAAACACCAACUGAUUCUCACGAAAUGAGAAAAUCACUUCUCACAAUAAGCUGAUUUUUGUAGCUUAGCCAAACGGGCUAUUAUGGACCUAACAUAUGAAAAAAUUUAAGUUGUUAGAGUGAGCACACUUUUAAAAAGCAGCCACUAAUGCUUUGUAUUAGGGUAGGCUGUCUACAUCACACCCCUUGGGUGCGGCCCUUCCCUGGACCCUGCGUGAAUGUGGAAUGCUUUGUACACCGGGCUACCCUUUUUCACAUGUAAGCUUGAUUUUUGGACCCAACUCAUUGAAAUAUUCUUUGCUUUUGGGUGGCGAUGAGAUUUCAGCUCAGAACUUAUUGUUUGCUUGUUCUGAUACCAUGUUAAAUUGUGCAACCACCUCAUCGAUGUUGUAGAUAUUGUACUUGUUGAAUUGUGUGAUUAUUUUAUCUAAAAAUUUAAUCGGUUAGAGAUAGCAUUACUUUUAGUCACUUAAAAUAUAUUAUGUCUCGGUACGUCCCUUCACUUGUGGACCUGAUUCAUGGACCCAACACAUCUAAUGAUGUUGGCGAGCAUAAUUUUGCAAACGAAAUGACUUACUAGCCACAACAUAUCAUGAGACAACCUACCAUCACAAAAGAUUUACUUAAUUAUAUGAUAUCUUGGAAAAAAAACUAUGUUGUAUCUCAACACGUCCCUUCACGUGUGUGAGCUUGAUUCUUGGACGCAACUUAUCGAAAGACUUUUUGCUUUUUGGGUGGCAGUGAGAUUUGGUCUGAGGACCUGUUACCUACUCUGAUACCAUGUUAAAUUGUGCAACCACCUCGUCUAAAAGUUUUAAACUUUUGGAAAGAGCACAUUUUUAAUUGCUUAAAGAGUAAUUAUGUUAUGGCUGGUGUAAUAUUUGUGUUAGUAUUAAUUGAUAUUCUUUUUUGUUUUUAGGUGAAGCAUAUUCGUGCCAAGUAUGGGGACUACUUUGGGAUAACUGUUGCUGGUUAUCCAGGUUAGCUACUAAGAUCUUGGGCUUUGAGUUAUUUAUUUGGACAAAUAUGGACCAUGAUUUACUUAUUCCACAUUAGUUUUGAAGCAAAAUGAGUUUUUUUCUGAUGUUUUGUGUGCUGUUACUGACUACUAUUUUGAUUCUUUGUCAGAGGCACAUCCUGAUGUUAUACCUGCUAAUGGAAUAGCUACACAAGAGAUAUAUGAAAAUGACCUUGCCUACCUCAAAAGAAAGGUAGUCUAUUCCCAGCAUUAUAAUUGUCAUCCGAGGAAUAUAAUGAGUUUGUGGUACUUGCGUUAGAUUAUACAUUUGUAUUCUACAGGUUGAUGCUGGAGCUGAUCUUAUUGUAACUCAACUCUUCUAUGAUACUGAUAUUUUCCUCAAAUUUGUCAACGAUUGCCGCCAACUUGGAAUUACUUGCCCCAUCGUCCCGGGUAUCAUGCCCAUUAACAAUUACAAGGGCUUCUUGCGCAUGACUGGAUUUUGCAAGACUAAGGUAUCCCCAUAUUUUGGAGUACAGACUUUACCUCUGUGUUUAUUUUUAUGUUAGCUUGUGGAACGACAUAUUACUUCACUCCUAUUAAAAUGCAUGGUAACCCCAAAAAUAUGGAGAUGUUAUAUUGCCCAAAAGUUCGGUUAGGUACCGUCAAGUUAGUGCUUUUCUUCAAUCUUAAUAGUAUGGUCUCUCAGUGUUGUUAAAGGCUUGCUUGAUGUGCGCUUAAGUUCUAAAGCUCGUGAUACGUAUGUUGUGUGCUUUGCUCACUUAUAGUAGUGUAGGCGGUAAGGUGCUUAGGCAUGUGCCUCAUUGCCCAUGUGCUCUGUCUUUAAGAGAGAAGCUAUAGACAAUAAAUAUCGUUGACAAAAUGAUACAUUAACUGUUAAAAAAACAUUAUGACUAAACUUUUUUUGUGAUUAGGAACAAGAAAUUAGUAAUUUAGAAUAAGAAAACUAGGCACUAAAAAUUUAAACUACAUCUUUCAUCUAAAACAAAAAUUUAAAAGGGUUUUUGAAUUUGAUUGACAUGAUUUUUACUUCAUGUAGUUCGCUUUAUUAUAUUUUUUUAAAUCUCCAAAUAAUUAUUGCUUUUUAUUUAUUGUUAUAUUUUUUGCAUUACACAUAUUUUUAUUUUUUCUUCAUUUGCGCGUUAUUUCACACUCCUAGUUAGAUUUUUGCAUCUUCUUUCCAUCUGUUGCUUUUGCUGUAACACUGUGAGUCGUCUUCCUUAAUUGAAUAUGUUAGUUGAGUUGUUCGUAUUUUGAAUCCGUGUCUAAAUGGUCAUGCUUUCCUUACCUGUUGUUAUGUUUUACGUAAGCGAUGUUGCUGAUUAAGACAAUAAGUUGAUCAUGUUUGAUGCUUGCUUAAAGGCUGAUUAGCAGCUCCUGCUUCAGCUUUGUAGAUACUCAGUUUUCCUUUAUUAUGUUGUAGAUUCCAGAAGAGAUAAUGGCUGCGUUGGAACCUAUUAAGGACAACGAGGAGGCUGUCAAAGCCUACGGAAUUCACCUUGGAACUGAAAUGUGCAAAAAGAUUUUGGCCAGCGGCAUUAAGACUUUGCAUCUUUAUACAUUAAACAUGGAGAAAUCAGCACUAGCCAUUUUGAUGGUUAAUUCUCUUACCUUUUGAACUUUCUACUUUGAGAUUUACGAAGUAGUCACUAUUUCUAGUAUAGGCAAGAAUUCAACUCACAAUUGUGAGAUGUCUUGGAUAUGCAGAAUCUUGGAUUAAUAGAAGAGUCCAAAAUUUCUAGGCCAUUGCCUUGGAGACGUCCUACAAAUGUUUUCCGUGUCAAAGAAGAUGUUCGUCCUAUAUUCUGGUAUGUAGAGAUGUGAAUUAAUGUCAGAAUACACCUUUUACUUUGUGAUGAUAAUCUGAUCUAUCGUCGUCAAUGAUGGUAGGGCAAAUCGUCCAAAGAGCUACAUCUCUAGGACCUUAGGUUGGGAUGAAUAUCCACAUGGUAGAUGGGGCAAUGCUCAAAAUCCAUCAUACGGGGCACUUACCGACUAUCAGGUAAUUGCAACUUGUUCUGUUCGUGUAAGUCUCUCUGGGGAAUGAUUAGUUUAAAUAUUUACUAAUAAACGUCUGAUUAGCAGAAGAUACUAUAGGAUAUCACAUACCUUCUUGAGCAUACCCUGGAGCAAUCUUUCCUUUUUAAAAAAAAAUUAAAUAUAUCUUAUCGUUACAUCACGAAUGACGUUUGGCCCUGGGAAGACGAGACACGAAAUUUUGUUUAUCUUUUACAGUGCUUAUGUUGUUUGAGGCAAAAUCAAAGUUAUUUUAACUUCUAAUAUUGUUUGUGAAAUACUGUGGGAACUACCUAGGUUUAGGCACUUAUAAAAAGAAGGAAACUUGUGGUCUGGGAUGUACACUUGAUUUAUUUUUCUAAGUUUGUUUAAAAGCUGUCUUGUCCUCCUAAAUAACGCUUCCUGUUUUAGUGCUUGCGUAGUUCCUUUCUUCGAAUCAUCAUUCAGCUGGUCAACCACAAUCAAGAUGAUACAAUUAGCUUUUUUGUGCAUUUUUCUGAGUUGUUUUGGUACGUUUGUUAUCUGUAACAUAGCUUCCUUUGGACCUCUACAGUUCAUGCGUGCACGGUCACGUGAUAAGAAGCUGCAAGAGGAAUGGGCUGUGGCUUUGAAUAGUGUGGACGAUAUCUAUGAGGUAUGAUUUAUACUUUUCAUUUCUUGUUAAAACUGAAGACUGGUUUCUAAGUCUUGAUACUUAUAGAAUUUUCACUUCAGAGAUUUAAGGACUACUGUCUUGGGAAGCUGAGGAGCUGCCCUUGGUCUGAAUUAGACGGUCUUCAGCCAGAGACAAAGAUCAUAAACGAAAAGUUGGGUCAUAUCAAUACAAAAGGUUUCCUGACUAUUAACAGCCAACCUGCAGUUAAUGCUGAGAAGUCUGACUCUCCUUCUGUUGGUAAGCACAAUUCCAUCAUUUUUCUUCUUUUACUUUCGAAUGGUUGAACCUAAAAUUAUUAAUCAGAUAGUAGAUAACUAAAAAGUGAUAGGAAAACCUUUCAUACAAGAUUUUAUACAGAAAAUCUAGAGUUUUACACAAAAAUAUGAUUCUCAACAAAAAGCAUUAGUCACUAAUAAGGGCAGCUUGAUGCACGAAGCAUCUCGCGUUUAUGCAGAGUUCGGAAAAGGAGCGCAUCCUAAGGGAGUGUGAUGUAGGCAGCCUACCCUGAUGCAAGCAUCAAUCACUAAUACUAACUGAAAUAUUGUAGGUCCUCCCAAAGUGUACAAAAAAUAAAACAGUUCCGCUAAUAUGCACUGGAAUUCAACAAGGCUUAGUCCUCUCUAGUAUAACUUUGUUCAAUACCCUCAAAUGUCUUAUCCACAGAUACCGUCUUCUAAGAAUUGCAUCUGUUUCACACUUUUCUUUAUAAGUCCUUGUCCAACUCUUAUGGGAACUUGUCAGGAUAAAACCUAUUCAUUGCUUCAUCAACCAGGAAAAGAGACCAAUUAACUUCUACUGAAUGGUCAAAGUUCAAUUUACACUAUUUAAUAAACAAGUCCAUACAUUCUUGAAAUGAGAUUCAACUGUUCCCAUAAUAUCCUUUUUGAGUUGCUAACUAUCUUUAUGUCACUUCCUGCUUAGCGCGUUUAGGAUGCUCUAUCACCUCGUCCCAUAACUACAUGACGAGGGAUUUUGUUAUAGCAGCCUUUUUUUAUCACCUCAUUACUUAUCUACGAGCUGUACAUCCUUUUAGUCAGCCUUCUUUUUAUUGCAAAAACAUUUUGCUUUUUCCAUGACAUGUAUGCUGAUUCUUUAUAACUACAUGACGUGGGAUUUGGUUAUAUAACCUUUUUGUUUACGAGAUUAUUUACUUUUUUUCUGCAGGAUGGGGCGGUCCCGGUGGAUAUGUUUAUCAAAAGGCUUACUUGGAGUUUUUCUGCUCCGGGGAGAAGUUAAACACCCUCGUCGAAAAAUGCAAGGCUUUCCCCUAUCUAACAUACAUGGCUAUAAACAAGGAAGGAAACUGGAUUUCCAACAUCAGCCAAACUGAUGUCAAUGCGGUGACAUGGGGAGCCUUCCCAGCUAAGGAAAUUGUACAACCGACAGUCGUUGAUCCCGCCAGUUUCAUGGUGUGGAAGGAUGAAGCAUUUGAAAUCUGGUCAAGAGGAUGGGCUCAAUUAUACCCAGAGACUGAUCCAUCUAGAAAAUUGCUUGAACAAGUAUGUAUUCUUUCACACUUUGUGUCUCAUGUCUUGAUUUAACAAUUUAUAAUUUUUUCGAAAUGCUAUGGUAUUUGGCCAUGACUUCACUUGCAAAUACUUGAGUCAUUAUUUGCAAGUAGAAAGCCGGUGCACUAAGCUCCCGCUAUGCGCGGGGUCCGGUGAAGAGUCGGACCACAAGGGUCUAUUGUACGUAGUCUUACCCUGUAUUACUGCAAGAGGUUGUUUCCACCGCUUGAACCCGUGACCUCCUGGUUACAUGGCAGCAACUUUACCGAUUAUGCCAAGGUUCCCUUUCAGUAUUUGCAAAUACUAAACUUAAGUAUUUGAAAUGCUAGUAAAGUAUUGAAAAACUAGCUUGAAGAGUAUUUCGAGUGAAAGAAUGGUUUUUCACUCGCAACACUUCAAUUUUUUUUCCCUUUGAGUAUAAAUUUCAUGUCCAAGCAUGUCCAUAUAAACUUUUUCAAUUCAACUUCAAAUACUCAUUUUUUUCGACUUCAACCAAAUAUUGUCCGAACGCUUACUUUACUGAUAAUAUUGCUCUUUCAAUUUGUUUACAGGUUCAAAACAGUUACUACUUGGUCAGCCUUGUCGAUAACGAUUAUAUCAAUGGCGAUUUAUUUUCCAUUUUCAAAGAUAUCUAAAUUAAGCUACAAGACUCAGCUUCUCAUCCUUUAUAGUGCCAUUUAGUCCUAUGAAGUAUUUUAUUGGAAGUCAUUACUAUUAUUGUUGUUCUGUAACAGGAAUAAUUUAAAGGGAUAUCUUUCCCUUCAAUUCUUUUCGUCUGCUUUUUAUAAGAAAAUAUCGCAUUACACGGUCACACCUCUUCUUCUAUGUGCUACUAUUUUUCUAUUAUUCACAAUUUUUUGUUACUACACUAUAUAAUUAAAUAGGGUAUUAUCUCUUUUAGCCCACGUCAGAAAUUAUUUACAUUUAGUAGCUGAAAAAGUGUAUAAAAUAUAUAUAAUUUUUGUAUAUAACAUACAAAAUGUAUAUAUAUAUAUACAAAAAAUAUGUAUUUUUUGGCCAUUAUUUUGAUGGUGGCUAUACAAUGUCAUUUUCCUAAUUAUUAUAAAUGUCAUUUAUCUCUAUUAUAUNUAUAUAUAUAUAGUUAUAUAUAUAUAUAUAUAUAUAUAUCUCAAAUAUAUAUAUUGUAUUUGUAUUUAUUAAUUCAAUUUAUUAUUAUGUCUUAGUAUGUAUGUAAGCAUCUUAUAUUUCAUCCGUCUUUGUGAUACGUAAAUUGCAUUACAACUAGAUCAUAAAAUCAAUAUGAUAUAUAAAUAUAACAGGGGGAGAUACUUGAGCAUUAUUAUACGGUUGUAUGUUGCUUCAAGAUAAGGGCUAAAUUUAUUUUAGUAUAAAGAAUGUUGGUCUAUAUUGAUGUUUAUGUUUUAUAACAUUUAAUAUUUGUUGCAACUGCGCAAGACAAAGGUUAGCAAUCAUAUACAUGCAGAGAAAAAGUUUAUUUGCUUAAAUAUUUUCUCAAACCUAAGUUCACGAGAUUUUCUUACAAUUAUUUUAUAAGAUAACACAAGUUUUUCCUGAAUUAUCAUAUAUUUUUCUUCCAAAAAAAACUUUUUUUUUAUUGUUUUUAGUUUUAUGACCCUAUCUCUUUUUUUUUUUUUAAUUUAUUAUUUUUAUUUUUUAUUUUUUAUUUUACAUAUGAGAGAUUUACUUUUACACGUUAGAGAUCUAUCAAUUACACAUAAGAGAUCUAAAAAUGUUAUUUUUCUAAAUUUUAAAUUGUAAACAGACGUGAUAUACCAAUAGCACAGACACCUCUUUAGUAAUAUGGUAGAAGAGAGGUAAGUAAAUUGAAGAGUUAAAAGAAGAAAAAAGCGAAGUACUGUAAAAUAUGUGCAAACAAUCUUUUGUCGAAGAGUAACAAAAAAGUUUCAAAAAUACUAGAAUGUGACAAGAGUAUAAUAAGAGAUUAAGCUAGCGUUUGGACAUAAAUUUGGUUGAAACUUGAAAAAAAGAGUUUUUGAAAUUGUGUUAGAAAAAUAAUUUUUGAAAGUUGAAGUUGUGUUUGAACAUGCAUUUUAUUUGAAAAAUAAUUGAGAGUGGAAGAAAAAAUUUCACCCAAAAACUGCCAUAAAUAAGUUUUUGGAAACUUGAACAAAAAUUUCAAUAUUUUUUCAAAAAUUGAUCAUGUUCUAUGAACAAACGAUGUUUUCAAAACAAAAAAAAUAUUGUAAAAAUGUACCCAAAAUUUAUGUCCAAACGGGUGCAAAAAUUCAACAACAAACGACAGCACACCCAGUAUAAACUCACAAGUGGGAUCUGAAGAGGGUAGUGUGUAACUGUGUAUGCAGACCUUACCCCUAUUUUGAGAAGGUAGCGAGGUUGUUUCCGAUAAAGAGAUUAAUUUUAUAAAAUCUGAAAUUAUUUUUUUUUUUGGGGAGGGGGGAGUGGUGGGGUGGGGAGGGGAUUAACUAACUCUGGAGCUUCAAUUCAUCAAUUUCUGAAUCACAGAUUUAGGAUUUUAUCUUAGUAAAAAGCAAGUUGAAUCUAUGAUGUGUAUGAAAUACUGAAUUAAAUAUGGUUAAGAAUUGCUAUCACACAUAGUUUUUUUAAAAUUUUUUAUUGGUAGAUGCACAUACUUUUAGCAGUUUAAAAUGAUAGUAUAUAUUGUUCUUGUAUGCAUGUAUUUACACACUUUCUCUUUUAAAGCCGAGUCUCUUGAUAGAAUUCAAAACAUUAUAGUAAUCCUUAAUUUUGAAUAUUUGACAUGCCAAUAAAAAUAUAUAUAAGAAAAUAAAUGAAGAAGCUGGCUAAAUAUACCGUAAAUAAACAAAUAUAGAACAAGGAAAAACUGAGUAAAUUUCAUGGGUGAUCAUUCAGCUUUAUAUUCAUACCCAAAAGUCACUUUUUUUUUGUUACGAAAAAGUCAUUCAGCUUUAUGUUCACUACCGAAAAGUCACUUUUUAUCUUUUAUACACAAAAAUUAUUUUACUUUGCUCUAAUUAUCACAAUAGUCACUUUUGUCAAAUUUUAUAAAACUUUCACCCGGAAAAUCUCUUAUACCUUGACAUUAUAAAUUCUCCCAUUUAUGUAAUACCUUCUAUAUUAUAUACUAUAUAAUAUAUAUUCUCCUAAUUAUUUUACUUAUAACUAAAAUAACUGUAAAUUAUUUUAUUUUUUAUUUUUAUAUUAUUAAAAUGUUUAACAGGAAAUCUGAUAAAAUCAUUUGAGGUAAGACAAGAGCUUUAGACAUUGGGGUGAGUAACUUUUAAUUUUGAAUAAUCUUAGUAAUUAGAACGAGAAAAAGAAUAAAAGAAUAGAGAGGACAAAGAAGAGAGUCAAAAGGCACCCCAGGAAUACAAAGACAAAAAUCUCUAUAUUUCUUAUUUAUAAAUGAACGCAUUAAGAGAACAAAUAAUACAUUCAUUUCAAAACUAAAAUUAUAUUUUACACAAGAAAGAGACCAAAAAAAUAUCUGUUUCACUUGGACUUAAAAACUUGUCCUUCUCCUGCUUAUACUCACUCUUGCUUUUUCUUUGCUCAAACAAUGUACAAUAAAAAAUCACAGUACAAAGUACAAAAUAAUUUUUUUUUAUAAAAAAAAUCACAAGAAUGAAUUAAAUUUAACCAGAUUU
rnacentral:lncRNA from 1 species